rnacentral:lncRNA from 1 species
UCUUGACUAUGAAUCAUAUAUAUUGAUUUUGACCGGAGCAAAGAUCAUUGCCCACGGAGCGGCGCAAAGAAUAUUGCGACCUGUGGAUUCAUUGAGGCGGUGAAGAAUUGCCAUUUUAUGAGCUUGUAAGACCCCUCCGGAGGAGAAGGAUAGGGGAGCAAGGUGAAAAGUGGUUUUCAAAGUCAGAGCUAUCCCUUAUUAUUGAGGGCUUUGACCACCUGGACACUCGCCUACUCAGUCGCAAGGAUCAAAGAAUUUGAUUGACAAAGAAUAUUGCGAUUUUACCGAGUCCUUCGUCUCGCAAUAUUCUUUGCGCCUUCGGUGAGUCAGGUUAAUAUGGAUAAGUCCUUCGGACUGAUAGCGUCCAAAAAAUAGGCGAGGGCGGGCGGGCUAUAAGUAGGCCGUUUGCUAUUGCUAUAAGGGCUGCUCGCCUUUAUACGGCUUGGCUUCGCUAUCGCUCAUGACUUGUAUUGUGGUCGGCCUAAAAAGUAGUCUUCCUACCAUAAAAAAAUGCCUAUUAUCUAGUUCGUUAAGCUUCGCCAAAAGCAAGACGAGGGCGCUCUGCUUCGUAGACAAGGCUCGUCUAGUACUUGACUUACGAGUUCGUGUAGGACUCCCCCCUCUCUCUAAAGGGGCUUAUGCACGGAACUCCUUGUCUACUAAAGAAGCGUUAGAGCGAGCGAGUUCAGCCUGAAAUUGAGUGGUCUCCCUCCUUUUCCCUCACUGAGAUAUUAUGUCUUUCAUUUCCACUUAAGCUUCCCCGCUUUGAGGGAUUAAUUGAUUGGAUACCCGAGAACCAUAAUCUUUCCUAGGAACUGCUUCUACGACGAUAGGCGUAAAGGCAUGAUUAGUUCCACAAAUCUCACUGCACUGACCAUAGUAAACUCCUUCUCGUUGUACCAAAAUGGAGAUCUGAUUUAAACGACCAGGUACAGCAUCACAUUUGACACCUGAGGAAGGUACAGCCCAACUAUGAGGUACAUCAGCAGGUGUUACAAUAAUACGUAGAUGAGUUUUGGCUGGUAGAACCACUCUAUUGUCCACUUCUAAUAAACGUGAUUGACCCAAUUCUAGAUCAUCUUCUGGAAUCGUAUAACUGUCAAAAGUGAGUGACUGUUCAUCGGAACUGUUAUAGUCAGAAUACUCAUAAGUCCGAUACCAUUGAUGUCCAAUAGCUUUGAUAGUCAUGGCUGGAUCUACUACUACCUCGUCCAUUGAGUAUAAGAGAGCAAAGGAUGGUAUAGCAAUGAACAUCGGAAUGAUACUAGGAAAAAUGGUCCAAAGAAUCUCGAUAGUAGUUCCAUGAACAAUCCUUUGCGGUAUUUUCUUUUGAGAAUAGUGGAAAUGCCAUAAAGCGCGAACCAAGAUCCGUGAUACGAAAACAAAAAUCAGAAUGAGGAAGAAAAAGAUAUCGUGAUGUAAGUCUAUUAUUCCUUGCAUCAUAGGUGUUGCUGUGUCUUGAGAUCCUAAUUGCCAUGGUUCCGCUGCAUCACAAGGAGCAAUUGUGAGGAAUAACCAUUUGAGAACAAUCAUUUUCUUUGGUUUAUUCUUUGACUGCUCUGCUCCCCCCCCCAAAAAAAGAGAGACUUGUUCUUGUUGCUUGGGCCGAGUUAAGUAUGGCUACCUAUUACUCCUCACUGCACACUUGAAAUAUCUCUUGAUACUCCCCCCUCUUUCUUACAACUAGUUGCUGCAUGCUAUCAGAUCUCGAGCAAUGGGAGGUUAGAAUUGAGAAUCCACACUCUCAUUACAUUACAUUUUGAUGUCGGAAAAUGUCUUUUGGGCAAUGAGCAUUCCUUAUGGGCGUAUCCGUUCUCUAUUUAGAGAAAUUCUUAGAGCGGUGCAGUUUAUGCAUGGCGAAAGGGAGCAUUGGAAGGGUCUUAGCUCCAGAAUAUGAAGACGAAUCCACACUCUCAUUACAUUACAUUUUGAUGUCGAAAAUGUCUUUUGGGCAAUGGGCAUUCCUUAUGGGCAUAUCCGUUCUCUAUUUAGAGAAAUUCUUAGAGCGGUGCAGUUUAUGCAUGGCGAAAGGGAGCAUUGGAAGGGUCUUAGCUCCAGAAUAUGAAGACGAAUGAAUAAGGAAGAUCAGAUUCAAGGAAUAAGAGGACAAAGGCUCGAUAGGAGGAAAUGAAUAAGGGGUCCAACGGAGCCUUCGGAGUACUAUAAAGAGGAAAGCCUAGACUGAUCGAUGUUCUUGGUAGGAACAUCCAUAAAUCAGGGGAGGGAGAUCGAGUUUCAAACCUUUAUACACAAAAUUGAAACUCAAAAUUCACUUCCUUCCUUCCGCAAGGCCGAUAUCUUUCAUAGCAAGCAAGGAUGAGUCCAUUAGGUUCUUCGAUUGAUUCGGAAAAGAAAUGAGAGACAAGAAAAGAUCUUUGAUGGAGAUGAAAAGGAAGAAUCUCAAAUAGACCAAGAUCCAAUUUCGGGUCAUUUCUUGGUGAACAUGAUCUGCCAUAAUCUCUUCGAUCCCUGAAUUUAUGUGCCAGAAUAAAGAGAGAUUUGGUAGGAAAGUGGAAGAGACCUUGUGGUAUAUAAUAAUGAGAGGGAGUGGGAAAGCUGCUGUAAUUCUUUGGAAAAGCCCGGUUCUUUUUGUCUUCGAGCUUGAAUUCCUCAAUCCACUCUUUCGUUCUUUCAUAUACCUCCCCACCAAUAGAUAGAGACAAAUAGGAAUAACCGAACCACGUCUACAAAAUGCCAGUACCAUGCAGCUGCUUCAAAGCCAAUGUGAUGCUCCUUGGUCAGAUGACCUAGAUAUUGGCGAAUACCACAUACGAUCAAGAAAAGAGUACCUAUAAUCACAUGAAAACCAUGAAAGCUAGUUGCUAAGAAAAAGGUAGAACCAUAAAUACUAUCAGAAAUAGUGAAGGGUGCUUGAUAAUAUUCCAUUCCUUGAAAGCCUGUGAAUACUAGAGCCAGUGAAACGGUAGCUACUAAAGCGUAAACAACUCGUUUUUCCUUCCCCGCGAGUAUAGCAUGAUGAGCCCAAGUUACGGCUGCUCCGAAUGAAAGGUGAAUAGGGGUGUUAAGAAAAGGGAUUUCCCGAGGAUCUAAAACCCCAAUCCCUUUUGGGGCCAAAUAUCUCUGAUCUCUACCGUAGGUGCCAAAGAAGAAUGAGAAGAAGCCCGAAAAAAAGCAAAAAGGAACAUAACCUCCGAUACGAUAAAGAGAAUAAAACCAUAUCGAAGUCCUAUUUUUACGACUUUGGUAUGAUGUUCCUUCCAACGUGGAUUCACGUAGAACAUCACGCCCACCAUACGAACAUGGUAUAUAGGAGAAAUAUGAGGCCCAAACUGAGAAGUCUUGCACCCCCUUGAAAUGAGUGCAUGUACAUCACACCUCCUACGAUGGUUGCCAAAUGAUAAGAAUGCCUUUGAGAUUCAAUCACAAACCACUUUGCCGGUUGUUAUGUAAACCCCAAUCCCUUUGGGGGCCAAAUAUCUCUGAUCUCUACCGUAGUGCCAAAGAAGAAUGAAAGAAGCCGAAAGAAGCAAAAAGGAACAUAACCUUCGAUACGAUAAAGAGAAUAAAACCAUAUCGAAGUCCUAUUUUACGACUUUGGUAUGAUGUCCUUCCAACGUGAUUCACGUAGAACAUCGCGCCCAUAACGAACAUGGUAUAUAGGAGAAAUAUGAGGCCCAAACUGAGAAGUCUUGCACACCCCUUGAAAUGAGUGCAUGUACAUCACACCUCCUACGAUGGUGCCAAAUGAUAAGAAUGCCUUUGAGAUUCAAUCACAACUUGCCCGGUUGUAUGUAAACCCCCCCCCCCCCCCCCCCCCCCCCCUCACUCCCACCCACUAAAGUGGUAAAGAAGGGCUCUUUGGGGUCUCAUUUUCUUUUUCUUUCUAUCUGACAGGACUAAAAAAUAGGAAGGAUGGUUCUUUAAUUGCAUUGAUAGAAGUCUAACUAGAAAAAGAUCUUGUUGCUUGAUAGAGCCCUGGCUUUUUGGAUAGAUCCCUCUAUAUUCCAACUGAUUUAUGCGUAGAGGCCGGGAAUAGGAAUCACUCAUAUUGCAUUGAGCCUUAACAGUCCGGAGGACUAUCCCGCUCCGUGGGAUUCUUUUAGCCUCACAAUAUUCUUUGCACCUAUCCAUCCACGCAAUAUUCUUUGCACCUUCGCUCCAAAUAAAGUAAUAGCCGCAACUCAAUUCAUUCAGCCUUCGCCUAGAAAUUCACUUUGCGACCCACUCCGUAAGCCCACUACACGAGAAGAAAGAAUAUCCUUAGCUAUUUAUCUUUAUUAUCUCUUCUCUGAGAAUAUCCUCUUAUUCUACUAUUAGAAGAAUAUCCUACUUUCAGUUUCUAGUCAAAGAAAGUCCAGGCGCAGGCGCAAAGAAUAUUGCGAGGUGCAGUCUAAUGGAUAGGACUGAGGCUCGACUGAAAGGAGAGAAGGCGCAAUGAAAUAUGCGAGGUCCAUAUUUCGACUGAGGAACUGAAACUUCCGCGUAGUGCUUCCCUUGUUCAUUGAUAGUAAUCCUGAAGUUUCUUCUUGGCAUCAAAAUAGAUCAAUGAAAGAGGACUAAAAAUAAGACGAAAGUACUUAUGACGGCUUUCCUUCCAACAAAUCUUCGUUCUUAGUUAUUUGAUUCCACUUUCAACUUUCUGGGAGUUGUCUUCUCCUAGGCUUUCUUCUUUCUGGCAGUCUUCUGCCUUGCCGUAGGGAGUAGGUUCAGGAGAACCAUAACCAUAAAUCAGAGAGACGGAGCAUCAAUCACGCAUAUUCUUUGCACCUCUUCCUUUAAGCUAUAUUUUUUAGGCUCCGGAGGCUCAAAGACAGGGAUAUUGUUGAAUACUAUUGGUUCGAGUCGCAGAGAGCAAAGAAUUUUCUCUUAAUGGAACUUAGCGCGAGUUAAUAUGGAUAGGACUGAGGUCUUAAGACUCCUAACUAUUAAUGGAAAGGACCCACGGAGCGGUGCAAAGAAUAUAUUAGAAGGGCAGACAGGUCCGGAGGACCUGUCUGUCCUUCGUCUUAAUACUCCUAACGUCGAAUAAGAAGCUGGAGGCUGGGUCCAGGUGCAAAGAAUAUUGUGUCCAUUAGAUCCAUUGAAUUAGGCGAAGGAUUUUAUCAAGCUUAGCUUUCUGGAUUCUUCGGCGGAGUGGGGCUUUCUCUAGUAGGUCUGGAGGCUCAAAGAAUGAUCGAAGGCUCCGGACCAUAAAGAAGAGAGUCGGAGGACUUCCAUUGACUUUUUCUUCCUUUCACUUCUAACUUCAAACCUUUCAUAUUCAACCUUGAAAAUAAAGGAGGGAGCGGACUAGAGGCCAUAAGUUUGAGUUCCUCAGAUGUAUAAAAACAAGUCCUCCGCGACGACCUAUCCACUGAAAGUAGCUACGUAGUCUUGUCUCCUUCCCCGCGUAGUGGGCAUUGACUUCUUCAUUGAUUUUCUUCUAUCUCCCACGUAGCGGUUGAAUAUGAAAGGAAGCCCACAGAGCUGAAGAUGGAGCGGGAUAAUAAAGAAGAAAGCUCAAAAGGAGGGAGCGGACCUCAAUGAACAAAGGACUCGUUUUCAUCCUUAUGGAAGAAAAAUCUCUUUUUUUUAUCUAAAAGACGUAGAAGGAGGCUCAAUGUCUAAUCUUUCUCUCAAAUCAAUAUCCCCCAGUGCAAAUAUUCCAGCAAUAUUCUCAAUAUGAAAAGAGCCUUUCUUCUUUUCUUAGAUAAAUGCGCUUCGUAGAUUAUGCUGAAGGAGGAGUGGGCCAUGAUCUUUGCUCCUUAAUUUCCCUAAUGGAUAGUCAUCUGGACCUUUCUUUUUAGUUCUUUGCGCUCGUCAACGCAUAUUUCAUUGCGCCUUCGCCUUCAAUGAAAUCCAUAAAUAAAUAAGGGUAGAUUUCAGACUCAAGAGGAGGGUUCCUUAUCAAUAUCAAUGAGACGGAUAGGCUUUCUUUUACAUUCCACAGGUCCGAAGGACUAUCCAUAUUAACAUGUCUGUCCUUCGCCUAACUAGUUCAUAUAGACCUUUGUUUUUCUUCCGCAGUCACUAAUAUGGAUAGUCCGGAGGACCUCCUUCAGCAUAAUCUAUGAAUGAUCGGAGCAAAGAAUAUUGCGGAAAAGAAGAAAGGAGUGCAAGCGAAAAAUAAUGGAUUGAAUAGUCCUUCGGACGACUACCGCACUUGGGGAUAUUGUUGAGAAAGAAUAUUGAAAAAGAAUGAUCGAAGAAUAUUGAAAAAGGACGGAGGAUAGGCUUUCUUUGAACAAUGUGGAUGUAUCAAAGAUUCCACAGGUUAAUAUGGUAGAUUUCAGACUAGUCCUUCACCUUGGAUCUGGGGACUAUUCUCUGUUCUAAUAGACAGAGGAGAGGUUCAAAGAAUAUUGAGAAUACUCGUGCAAGCGCAAUCAAUGAACAAGGUGAAAAGAACAAAAAAAAAAGGCGGUCGAUGAUCAGGAAGAAAAAGUCAAAAGUCUAUCCCAUCUUCUUCGUUAGGCGCAAAGAAGAAAAAUAAGGUGCAAAGAUCUAUGGCCCAAUUAUAAGGGGUCCAGAUGCACCAUAAGACUGGUCCGAAGGACUAUCCAUAUUAACCGGAGUCUUCAACAAGAUUUCCAACCCUGAAUAUUAAGCUACUGAGGCCCAAUAUUGCGAAGGAAGAACUGCGCCAUAAGACAGGUCCGAAGGACUAUCCAUUAGGGAAUGAGACGGAGGUAAGUUUGGUUUUUUGGAAAACUUGUUGGCGCGAUUAGUGCGUUUUUUUUGGAAAGUAACAAUUCUCUUCAUUUGUUUUCAGAAAACUUGUUGGUCCACGGAUUAGUGCGUUCUGCGCCGCCUGGUGUCUGCAAACAUAUUUUUCCAAAGUGUGUUUACCUUUGGUUAUAUGCUCCGAUUACCCCCAGUUUAUCUCAUCUUUAGUUUGCAUAACUAGUUUAGCUGUUUGCUUUUCAUUAUAGGUCAUAAAGCUUGGGUGUGACGUUUCAGCAUUUUCAUAUGCAAGCCUGCCAGAGAGGAAAAUGUUCAAAAUGUACUAUAGGGGAGGCAUACCAGUUGAAUCCCCGCCCAAGCAUUAGUUGUACUCUUUGCAAGCAACCCUUUUUCCUUGCAAUUGGCAGUCUUUAAUGCUUAUUGUAACGUCUAUUUCAAUGUAUUUCUUUCUUUCCCGUGUUUUAUAAAUAAAAUGUCCCUAAAACGCAAACGAAGGUUACGACAUACAUCGACGUUACCCACAACUCUUGGAUAUUGAUCGACUGACUUGUUCAUCGAGUUAGAACAAGUGCCGCACAAUCGUCCGUCUCGAGGUUGAAACGCUACGAUUGUGACAAGUGGUAUCAGAGCCAAAGUUGGUUGAGUGACAGUUUUGACAAAAAUAAAAUGUCGACUGCAAAACGAGCGAGCAAGACCCAUGAAGAACGGUUGGUGGAGAUCGAAGUGCAGAUGCUCCACCUGAUGGAAGUUCCUGAUUCCAUCCGGUUCUUGGAAUAGCGGCUUGAGGAUAUUGCCAAGAAAGCUGAUGGCAUUGAAGCCGUGUCCGGUCACCUUGACGGACUACCCAUCCAAGAGUUACUGACUAGAGUCGACACUCUAGAGUCCCGAGUUAUGAGAACGGGAAAUGUCACCUACGAGCGUGGGGACAGUUCAUCGGGCUCUGUUGCCCAGAUGGAAGAAAGAGUUAUGGAGCUUGAUAACUCGCAAAAGAACAUGUUGGAGAUGAUGAGCGGCAUGACAAAGGAUUUUCGAGCAACGCUGGAGGAGCCAUUCUUGUGGGCAGAAUCAAGAUUCCUAAGCCCAAGCCCUUCUGUGGGGCGAGAGAUGCCAAGGCGUUGGAAAACUUUAUCUUUGAUGUCGAGCAGUAUUUCAAAGCCUCGAACACAAUUACUGAAGAGGCCAAGGUGACGUUGGCAACCAUGCAUUUGUCAGAAGAUGCGAAGUUAUGGUGGAGGUCCCGAUACAUGGACAUUCAAGAAGGGCAUUGCACAAUCGACACGUGGGAUGCCCUAAAAGGAGAACUCUGUUCGCAAUUUUCCCUGAGAAUGUCGAAAUUCUGGCCCGACAGAAGCUGCAUGAAUUGAAGCACACGGGGAACAUUCAGGACUACGUGAAACAGAUUGUGGGGGUAAUGUUGGAUACACGCGACAUGAUCGAAAAAGAUAAAAUAUUCAGCUUUGUUGAAGGGUUGAAGCCAUGGGCAAGGACUAAGCUAUACGAGCAGAAAGUCCAAGACCUCGUGUCAGCCUAUGCAACAGCUGAACGUUUGUUUGAUCUGUCUAAUGACGUUCAAGAGACAAGACAUCAUUGAAGCUCUUCACCUGGAAGAGACAGAAACAGCCGACUGAAUUCUCCCGAAGCUGUCAGUAGAAAUAAAAGUCCUGGUAGAGACCGCAAGCCCUUCCAGUCAAAUACGGGGAACACCAGGCAAAGGCCCACUAGUCAAAGGACCUCCCACACUCCUAUCAGUUGCUACAUUUGUAACAGGCCACAUCGGACAAGGGAAUGUCCGGAUAAAGCGGCCUUCUACGCCUUCCAGGCCUCUCUGGCUACAGACUUAGGUGACAAGUUGGGUCAACCAGAGAAUGAAGGUGGGUAGGUGGAGGAAGUCCAAAACGUUAGAGUAGGGGCCAUAAGACUUUGUCGUUCCUUCAGAAGAAAGCGGGGGAGACAAGUGGUCGUACAAAAGGGGGCCUAAUAUAUGUGGACACCUGGAUCAACCGAAGGCAUGCAAAGAGCACUAUGGUUGACUCCAGUGCAACCCAUAAUUUUAUAACGGUGGCGGAAGCCAGACGAUUGAACCUUCACUAGAAGAAGGAUACAGAAAAGAUGAAGGCCGUAAAUUCUACAGCUUUACCCGUCGUCGGAGUAGUGAAACGAGCGGUGAUACAGUUGGAAAGAUGGAACGGCCUUGUUGACUUUGUGGUUGUGGGCAUGGAUGACUUUGAUGUAGUUCUCGGAAUGGAAUUCCUUCUCGAACAUCAAGUGAUCAUGAUGCCUGCACCAAAUGUCGGUGAUCACGGGAUCUACCCCCACCGUUAUGCAGAUACCCCCACCAUUAUGCAGAUAGAACUCCGGCAACCCAAAGGAUUGAGAAUGGUCUCGACCAUGCAACUGAGGGCCAUAUUAGGAAGACACAAGGCGUGUCGUGGAGAGACGUUGUGAUGGGAAACAGGAUAGUUUGCCCAUGUCAGAAUCGCCUACGAGAAAUGAUCAUCGUAUGGCGCAAUCAAAAUCAUCUGGACUCAGGAGACAGUCAAUGAGACUGUCAGGUGCAGGAUCCACUAGACCUGCGAGAGAUCCGUAUCAAGCACAAGACUUCUUACGGAAGGAAGAGAAUGGACAAUUGUGUGUCAACAACCGUGUCCUAAAGCAAGCCCCGAGGAGAGGGCCAACUUUUGAGUCCGUGAGUGGGACUCAGCCUGUUGAAGCUUACGCUAAGGCAUAUGGUCCUGUGUCAGGUGGCAUCCUAAUGCAGAAUGGACACCCUAUCACAGCUGAGAGUCAGAAACAAAGUGCCGCAGAAGGUAGUUAUACGAUGUUUGGAAAAGGAAUGCUGACCACGAUACGUAGUCUGAAGGAUGGAAGACAACAUUCCCAGGGGUCUACACAUGGAAGAGAGACGAACAACAUUGCGACCAACCGCUUUGAUACUCGGCCGAAGUGGGCUUUGAGUCAAGAAAAGUGGCAGAGGGACGUGUCAAGGAAUCCUUGCAGAAAAACUCUGUCAUUGAAGUUGAUGUAAGUCUGGCGGAGACCAGUCAGGUGGAAGAAAAGAAUGGAGUUCAAUUGUGGAAGCUAACCCAAUCUUAUGUUAAUGCUGCAAUGAGUUCGUCAAUGGAUGGAAACCAGUUUGUGGGUAUUUGUGGCGGACAUUCUGUACAGUCCCUUGUUGGUCCCUCCUAUGUUGGUAAGAAUCCUCAAGCUUGCAACAGUACCAAGAGGUGGAAGCUGGAGUCAGACAUCGUUCGGACCGAUCGAGAGGAAGCCUCGAAGUGGCCAGAAAAGUGGGCAGAUAAGAAGCAUCGCCUCCGUGUUGGGGGAGACCAGGUCAUCGUCAAACGGCGAUCUGAACUGACUCAGUUUUUGAAGAAGACUUCAAGAUCACCGCCUCGUGAGAGAACGCGAGGGACAAACAGAAGUUCAAGAAGUCCUUGCUAAAGAAGCAAGGAAAAGAAGAAGACCCAUGGGGGGAUACACAAGUUCGUGGUGAAGCAGAGGAGCCUCCUCAUGGAAGAAGCCUGUGGAAGACGUACCAAGACUGUGAAGCGUGGAGGUAGAAGAUCGAAGGAUUCCAGCUUUGCCAGUCGACGGGGACGUCAACUGUUUAAGUGGGGGAGUGUGUCACGGACAUAUUUUUCCAAAGUGUGUUUACCUUUGGUUAUAUGCUCCGAUUACCCCUAGUUUAUCUCAUCUUUAGUUUGCAUAACUAGUUUAGCUGUUUGCUUUUCAUUCUAGGUCAUAAAGCCUUGGUGUGCGUUUCGACAUUUUCAUAUGCAAGCCUGCCAUAGAGGAAAAUGUUCAAAAUGUACUAUAGGGGGGCAUACCAGUUGAAUCCCCGCCCAAGCAUUAGUUAUACUCUUUGCAAGCAACCCUUUUUCCUUGCAAUUGACAGUCUUUAAUGUUUUAUCGUUAUUUCAAUGUAUUUCUUUCUUUCCCGCGUUUUAUAAACAAAAUUUCCCUAAAACGCAAACGAAGGUUACGACAUACAUCGACGUUACCCACAACUCUUGGAUAUUGAUCGGCUUACUUGUUCAUCGAGUUAGAACAAGUGUCGCACAAUCGUCCGUCUCGAGGUUGAAACGCUACGAUUGUGACACCCGGCAGCCACAUAGAAUUGAGAAAAGCCUAUGGUUGAGGCAGCAUUAAUUUAUGAAACUUUACACGUGGGAAGAGAUGACUCUUUCUAUUCAAACCUGUAAACAUAGAAGACCGCCUCAAUGAACAAGGGAUCAUUCACAUAGAAUAAAUAUGAACAACGAGAAAGGGAAUAUAAGGUUUGAAUUCAGAGGAAAGCCUAGCUUGAAUGAACAAGGUGAAAAGAAUAUUGACAGCUGCACUUACGAGUCUUUCAGUUACCUUUCUGCCUCUUUAAAGAGUUCAAGGUUUUCUAUUAUCGGAAGAAUCAGAAUAAGAAGAAAAUAGAGAGAGAAGAGAGCUCAGGAGGCGCAAUGAAAUAUGCGUGAGAAGCGCAUUUCCUUAGUGGAAUACUUUGAUAGCGGAAUAAGAAGUCGGAGGCUCGGUCAAGACGAUCUUUUGAUCUAUUCUAAUGGUUCUAAUGGAUAGUCCUUCGUUUUAGAGUCCUACAGAUAAAUCCUCCGGACUGGUCCGAAGGCUAGGUUCAUACGGAUAGUCAGGACGGUUAGUUGGAGCCUUGUUUUUCGAAAUCUUCUUUGAGCCUCAGUCGUCUCAUUGAUAAGGACAUCUUUGCAAAUGAAGAGCGGGAGGUGCAAAGUGCGGCUAUUACUUUGAAAAGAAUAGGAGCUCCGCGGUUUGAAUUGAAUAAAAAGGAUAGGCUGAAAUUCAAAGUGAAUAAGAGGAUAUUUUCAGACAUAAUAUCUAAAGUCAAUGAACAGGGCUCCUAACCUGAUUUAUGGGGAGCCUACUACGUCCAUUAGUUCCGAACUUGGCUCCACUCCUAGUAGUUCGAACUUGGCUUUGCUCCUUCGCUUUUUCUCUUAUUGAUCUCUCUUGUAAUGCUUUCUACUAAGAAUCAAGAAAGCGCAACUUCUAUUGUUCGAACGACCUUGAUUAAAAAACGAUGCUUCCUUGGUCGUGUAGAACAUGGAUUAGCAUUAUUUCAUUCCUACAAGCGAUCCCCCAUCCAGGAUUGGAAGAAGUGCUAUAUGAGGACUUUGAGAUCAAAUAGAAUAUAUUUCUUUCAAGACCUCGUGAGCCACUUAUUUCUCCGAAACAAGAGAGAAAAGUGAUUUUCCUCCUUUUUCUCAAUAAGUCGACGACCUUACACCAUUGGGAUACUUCUUUGAAACUAGAGUACAUAUAGGAUACACCGGUGCUAAAACCUUUUCUCAAAAGAUCUUCCAAACUGUUGGGGUCCUUGCUCCGUAUGUUCUUCCCCCGGUGUGAAAGCAGUUGGUUCCAUAGUUUGAGAAUUCUACUGAUCCCAAGUACUCCAUCUCCAUCAUUGCAUAGGGAAUAUAGAAAGUCAAGAAGAAAAGGCAUGAGCAGAAGAAUUGUGUGAAAUAAGUCAAUUUAUCCAAUUGAGGCAUUCUUUCUUUUUCUUAAGAAAAUUCCCUCUAGACAUAAAUCCUUUCUGUACGAGUAGUGAAGAACUAUAGAGAGCAGUGGUUGGUUGUUGACCAACGAAAAGCAUGGGAGAAAGAAAGAUGUUGGCAAGGAAGCAUCAAAAUAGAUCAAUGAAAGAGGCUCAAAGAAUGAUCGAGGACUAUUUUAGUCCGACUAGAAACUAGGGAAACUAAAGACUAACGAAAUCUAGAUGAGAAUCCGUACAAUUAGUCUCGAGAAAAAGAAGAAAGCAAUAAAAAAAGUGAAGACAGAAAAUGAACCGAAAAUCUUCUUCUCUCAUAUUGAAUUCAUCCUUCUACGCAUCUCCAUGGGCUCGACUGAGAGUGGAGGAGAGGACGGGAAGAAUGAGAAAAAUAGUAAGGCGAGAAGACAGGUUCGAAGGACUAUCCAUCAGGGAGUUUGGACCCCGUAGUUAGGAGCAAAGAAUAUUGCGAAAGAGUCAUAAUAGGUACAAAUCUUCUUAGAUUAUGUUGAAGGAGGCGGCGCAAUUCAAUAAGCGAAAGUCAUGAUCCCUUUAAAGCAGACGUUAGGCGCAAAGAAAGAAGCUCAUUAACGAGAAUGAAAGAAUAAUUCACUCAUUAACGAGAAUGAAAGAAUAAUUCACUCAUUAACGAUAAUGAAAGAAUAAUUCUGAUUUCAUCACCUUGUUUUUACGGAGUUCAAUACUAGAUUGAAGACGGAGGGAAAUCCCAGAUUUUGCUAGGUUUUGGGCCUAUAAAGUAGCAAGAAAUCAUGAAAAAUCAGUCAAAAUUAGACAAUUAUCGUAGCAUAUCAAUAUGAGAAAAAGUAUGAAAAAGAAGCAAAAAAGUCGGAAAAUAGCAAUUCAAGAAGAAAGCCUAGGACAGGGAAAAGAAAUGAACACUUCUAGUUUGAGUUUAUGGUCCGGAUACUGACAGGUCUAUUCAUUAUUCCGCUCCUGAAUAUGGAUAAUCCUACUUCGGUUAAUUACGGAUAGUCCUCCUUCGGUUAAUUACAGAUGGUCCUACGGAUAAAUCCUCCAGACUACUUCAAUUAAUUACGGAUGGUCCUACUUCCAUAUGGAUAGUCGUACUUCAAAUGGAUAGUCCUCCGGAUAAAUCCUGCGGACGUAGGACCUUGGACCUUUCUUUCUUUAAUGGAUAGUCCUCCGGAUAAAUCCUGCAGACUGCGUAGGACCCUGGACCUUUCUUUGGCACUCCGGACGGAUAAAGAAAGGAUAAAUAAAGGCGCAAAGAAUAUUGCGAAGUGAAGCGCAUUUAUCUAAGAAAAGAAGAAAGGAUAAAUAAAGGCGCAAAGAAUAUUGCAAGAGCGGGAAUUACCUUUUCUCUUCGGGUUAGCUAAGAGUUGUCGGAGGCUUGAAGUCGAAUAAUUACUUUUACUUAAAGGUUUCACAAACCUGCAAAAUCUUCUCCAAAUUAGCGUUAGCGUUCUGAGCUAGCCAAGCAGUAUAUUUAAAAUAUAGAAAGAAAAAAAUCCAUGCAAUCCAAGUACACUAAGAACCUACAGCAUCGUCACGCUGCGUGCGGAAGGUUAAUUCUUCUAACUCUGGUAUUAUCGUUGAACAAGCAGUUCACAUUCGACUGCCCACGUAGUGGGGGAAGCUCGCUCGCUAACUUUGCACUUCGGCCAAAAUGCCGAAAAAAGGCUAAGGCCGAAGGAGGUCUGCUCCUUCGCUCAAGGAAAAAUUGCCCGAUUGAAUAUAUAUCUUGGAGCAGAGAGAGGAAAGGAUGACGGAAGCCUCAGUCUCAGUACGAAAGGGGCAAAAAGCUGGAAAAGGCAUACUGGCUUCACCUUGCCCUAGGAUGGGGUCCGUCGGAUCUUUUAAGGCAUAAGCUUAAUGCUGAGACGCACGGGGAUAUCCGGUCAAGGAUGGAUAUUCAAGACAAGGACGAAGGCUCUCCUUCACGCAAGAUGAUUACAAGUCUUAGGAGUGAACUUCCGCUUUACCCUUGUGGUAUCAUGAAGCGAAGGGCAGAGAAAGCGAGCGAGAAAACAUAAAUCAAGGCGGUCGUUGACUUAAAAUAGGCAAAAAGAAAAGACAGAGAGCCUACAGGUUUCUCGAUUUACCCUUCUUCUAGGAUAGAAAAAGGCACUGCCUGUGUGACCACUACAAGCAGACGUGACGAGCGAUGCAGGGCCACCCACGACCGCUAGCAAUACGAGGUAAAGCGGCCAGAAAGCAUACCAUAGGAUGCGUCCUGAGGGUAUUCACAUAAACAUUCUUCGAAUUGUUCACAUUCGGCGGGAUGUUCUUAGCCUUGUCUCCAAGUGAAUAAUUGAAUCGGCACCGACACGAUCGGACCUAUUGCAGCCUUCGGUUGACUGGUGGCAUUCGAUGGUAUGCUUUGAGGCCUUCCCAACCUGCUCCGUGUAAAAAGGUAGAAGGAGGCUCAAAGAAUUAUCGAAGAGCGAGACGAAAGAAAAUAGCGACUUCCAGUCGGUGAUGGGAUAUCUCAAUGUUAUCGCAGAUUCAAAGGCGCAAAGAAUAUUGCAUUGAGGCUCGACUGAAAGGAGAGGCGAAUUUGAGAAGAAAGAACUAUAUCGGAUAAAUACUCAACUGCCUCAGACGUCACUGGGACAAGAGCCGGAGAUUCUGAAACCUCUCGCAGCUUCUUUGCUUCCUUUGGUCUCGAUAUUUGAACCGCCUCAAUAAACAAUAAAUAAGGGUCCAAAAAAUCAAGGUCAUCUGAAACCCUUUUUUUUAUGCGCCUCAGUCCUAUCCAUUAGAACGCCGGCCCUCACCCUUUUUCUUCUUAGUGAGAGCUUGAGCUUUAGUCUUCCGAGUUCUCAAAUUCUUUGACCCUCUGUCUCAGUAUUCGGCAGAGAUGCUGAUGUUAACAAUAAAUGCAGGCUGAAUGUUGUAUGGAAGGAUGAUCAUUUCGGCUUCUUGUAGCCAUUGAUGUUGUCUAAUGCUUGGAGAGACAUUGUUUAAUGUGACUUUGGACAAGGUUACUGAAGAUAGAACUAUCUGGCUUUAGGUCAGUUUUCAGUUGCUAAGACAGUGAAGCUCUUUCAUCUUCCUGGUAAUACUGUCCCUUGGUUCAAGCUUCUUUGGGGUAAGAAGCACAUCCCUAGUCAUGCUUUUCUUUCGUGGAUGGCUAUGAAUAAGAGUCUGAGAGUCAAAGCUAAACUGUACAAUCUUUAAGUGCUUUCGUCUUAUUUUGAGGUUUGGAAGCAAAGAAGCAGAGCGGAGUUUGAUUCCUUAUAUCAGAAAAAGAUAUAGGAAGACUCCCAGAAAGAAGAAAGCCUAGGAGCAAGCAAAGAAAGAGUAAGGAUCAGAAAGCUCCUAACCCCUAUUUAUUUAUGGAUGUGAAUUGAGCGAAGGCGCAAAGAAUAUUGCGAAGGUUAAAGAAUAUUGACUUGAUAAACCUCUAUUUAGCUUCUUAUAUCUGAAGACGAUAAAGUCAGAUAAUCAGCCUCCGGCUGGGUCGGAUCGUCCAUACCUAGUUGAGUAUCUCUGUCCGUCAUAACGAAUUCACUCUUUGAAAAAGGGUCGGGCUUUGUUGGAGUUGACUCGGUGAGUACACUUUCAUCUUUACGAGAAGAAGCGCGAACAACAACUAUAUUAUUCAGCGACAGACCUGAUUUACCCGAUGAGUGGAAUGACUCGACAAAAGUCUUAGGACUCGGGACAGACGCGCCUCCUUCCUGCUAGAACUCAUAGGUCUACGGGGUUCUUUCGGUAGCGAGAAUAGUGGUCCCAAACGGAAUAGAAGUACUUUUGAUUCACUGAAUCAUAAUCUUUGAAAGAAGAAAGGGGGACGGAGGAUCAAUGAAAUUUGAUGAUGAUGAGUAAGCUCUUGCUUUUCUUGCUCCUCUUUCUGAAGUUGCGAGAGGUUCAAAAUAUCCUUAUCAAUGAUUGGAGUGGUUGUUCCGGUUGCAACGUUGCUGUUGGAGUAGAAGUUGUAGCCCUUUCGGUGAGGUGCAAAUGCUCGACCUCGACCCAUUGGCAUUAGUUGAGGAUGCACUAUCCCUGAUUAUUUUUUAGGAGAAAGCCUCUUUCGUCGGGUUUAGGGGAAAAGACUAAGAAUGAGGUCCCCUCCCCCCAGUUGAGGAACGAGGGCAAAAGCGAAGCCUAUGAAGUGAGUAUGAGCUCGUUCGACCCCCAUGUAGCAGGAAUAGCACCAUCUUCUCUCUUUCAUGAGUAGUUCACUGCACUCAUUAGUAGCUGGACCAAGAGGUUAUUCACUCUAUGAUCUCCUGGACUGGAAUAGGCGCUCUCCCAUAGCAAGAGGGAGCUCGACGUAGUCGGUCUUUCGACAGUCACAGUAAUUGAGAGAAGCAGCUGCCCGGGAGAGGGAGGUAUCGGAUUAGGCACGAAGAGAGGAUUAGUCGAAUCGACUGUAAGAAGAGGCAUCCGUUCUUGUGGCAGUAGCAGUUGCAGAAGUUGAAUCGUCAGUGGCUGUUCUUGUUUAAGAAAUAGCUGCAGCUAUUCCCACCAAGGCCUGACGAUAGGCUGAUUUCAGGAUUUCCUAUCCAUCCUCAAAUUCUUUGAGCCUUUGUUACAAGAAAAUACUCUUUAGUGACUCAAGAAUACCCUGUCUUAUGGCACCUCUCAUCUGGAGCCUUUGUUUUUAAACAAGUCAAAUUCUCUAAUGGAUAGCCUGAAUUCAUGAAUAUUGAAUUGAACCUACUAAAAUCAAAGGAAUAAAGAAAGAGCUCAAAAGGAGUCAAAAUGAGAAGUCCGAAACCUCAUCACCUACUCCCGGAGGCAAGGUGAAAUUCAAUAUGACGAAGUCUUAUAGUUGGGUCUCAUCCCCCCAUAAUCAAGUAGCAUCCACUAAAAAGAGCGGAGCGCGGAAGGACGAGGCGCAAUUGAAAUAUGCCUGAAUGAAUCUACCCUUUUUAGAUUCGACUACUCCGCUACGUGGGCUUACUAGUAAUGCUGAAGUUUCCUCCUUUUCUAGCUUUCUUUCUAAUGCCCUUCUUUAUGGUCAAGUGUAUGGUCACUUCCCCGAGGCGCGGAUCCCACUACACGGGAAUAUAUUAUGAUAUAAUGAACUAUCUUCUUUCUAAUAGCUGGUUUCAACAGCCACCGGGGAGGAGACAAGAACUCAAUCUACUGAAACAAGGUUUCAACCACAGCGAGAGCAUACCUCAAAAAAAUAAGGAAGAAAAAGAUAAAGGCGCGAAGCAAAGCCUAUGAAGUCAUAAGGGCAAGGGCUUUCCGUGAACUUUCUUAUGAUGGGAAAUCCUUGUUUCAUUUGCGAGACACAUUUCAUUCGUAGAAAUACCACUUCCUACUUCCUCAUCCCGACAAUAAAGAAAGCACUACGCGGGACAAAGUAGAUUCCCAAACUAAAAGGAAAGACUAAAAUCAAAGCUCCAGAUGAGUUGAAUUGAGGUGCAAUGAAAUAUGCCUUUCAGCAGUGUGCGAAUUCGCUCUUUCGGCUGAUAACCUUUCGAUCCAGAAAGCACUACGCGGAAGUUCCCCACUACGCGGCGCGAAGCGACUGCCCACUUUUUGAAAAGAAAUAAAGAGCGCAGAACAAGGUUCAGUUAAGCUUGAUAAAUCAGUCCUUCGCCUAAGAAUAAGGUUCAAAGAAUAUUGAACUCAUGAAAUCAAUAUCCCUGUCUUAUGGGGCCUUCGUAGCUUAAUAAUGGGGAUCUGGUUCAAUUAUAAGGCUCAAAGAAGAUUGAGAAAGAAUAUUGCAAAAUCAAGGCGGCAAAGAAAAGGUGAAUAUGGAUUCGUACGAUUAGACUUGACUGAGAAUGGAAUUGCUUUAGCUAUCUUUUUUUUCCGUCUUUCAAGGUGGAAGCUAAAUCAGAAUAGUUUCUAGUUGAAGGCAAGCAAGCUAGGGUUGGUUCGUAUUGACAAAGAGCUGGACUUCUAAACUUUCAAUGGGUACUGGAGUACUACUUUGUCAAUCGAUGCUUAAUACUAUCUUUACGCAAAUAAAGGCCGAAGAAUGAGGCUAAGUCUUCUAUUUAGUGGUCUCGCUUUGCACCUUGCUGAUCUCAUUUCAAAAAUGCUUCGCCUGCCUCUUCUUGGAUUCCGUGCACGAGUAAGUACCCGUAAAUCGUAAAGAAAGAGGGGGGGUAGUUACCUGCUCUUUCAUCGAGAUUGGCGAAUUACGGUAGAAGAUAGAAGAGGUUCGAGGAUCAAAGUAUUUGAGCUUUGCUAUUACUUUCAUGCUCCUCUUAGAAGGAAGAUAAGCACGAUAAGCUGGCCUAUAUCAUUGCUUAAUUCAUGCUUUCUUCGUACUUCCGGAAAGAAAUCUCACUCAUUUCAUUCUAUCACAUAAUGAGAACUCUAGAAAAGAAAUUGCUUACUUCAUGCUUUCUUCGUAUUUAUUUCCAAUCCAUCUUUUGUCUAUGACGAUCGGUACGAAAGGAAGGCAUGCUCGCAGGGGAUUCUUAUUACUAAUAGAUGAUAAGAUAAUACGAGAAUGAAAGAGGUCGAGCGCCUCACCUCUGAGUCUGAUUGUUGGAGUAGUCUGAUGACUCCCACUGGUCGUCUUUCAACUCAUUAAAUCCCCUAUCUUUUAUGGCGGUCUUACCGGAAUAUCUACUUUAUAGAAUUCCUAUGAGACUAAGAAACAAACUGAGACCUCGUAGUCUUCCUGUUCCCGGUCGAUCCUAUGAUCGAUCUCAUACAAAGAUCUCAUCUCAUCGACUAAAAAGACUCUUUCUUCUUAGUUUGAGCUUGAGGCGCGUCCAACCCACUACGCGGUAAGCUUUUCCUCUUUUCCUCUCACUUCAAGACUCAAGACCUUACCCGCACCGAGUCAAUCCGAUCGCUACCUUUCCGGGUCGUAUUCUAGUAAUUAAUUUCAUUAAUAACUCAGAGCGGCGAUCUAAAUACUUCUUCAGCAAGAACUUCGAAGAAGGUAGAGGAACUGAAAUGGAUUCACUUCCGCAGGCAGCAUCCCUUUCAACGACGACUCCCCGAGAGACCCGCUUCAAACUUCCGAUUUAGAAAGAAGGUAUCUCAGUCUCUUACCGCGUAGUGGGCUGAUCGUGAGAGAUGGAAUCUUCAACCUCUUAUGGAAAUGUGUCCAGCGGAAGUAUUUACGUAAGAAAUUGAGAACCAGGCGAGAGGAGAGGGGUGAGGAUCGAGCGCAUUCCCUAUCGAUCAGCAUCCUCAACUCUACUUCAGAGCUAGAAAGGUUUCGGAAUUCAGAGGCAAGAGCAUUCCUUCCUCUUCUUUAGUCAAGUCAUUUCAUUCCAUUUCUCACUAGGUCUAUAGAAAUAGUUCAUGGCCACUAGGUCUCGUCAUAUUUUUUCUCAAGAGAUGAGAAGAAAGUUCCUAAUAGAAUAUGUUUGAAUAUCUCAACUAGAAAGUCUCGGAUUAACUCUUCCCAUAGCGUAGCCGCGGCGGAAAAGGAAGAUUUUCAACAGUCAAGAGAUCAAUCAGAAGGGAGCGGAAGAAUGGAUAUUGUCUUCGAUCUUGCGAUAAAAUGAGUGAGACCAUAUGCGAUCUGUCUCAAACAGAGAAUUAGUAAUCUGAGUCGCAGGGAAUAGGUUGAAUAGUCCGGAGGACGGGGAGAAGAAAAGAGAGGUUCCGAGGUUCAAAGAAUAUUGGACAAAGAAUAUUUCAUGAAUUGAGGUGCGGUAGUCCGUCCGAAGGACUAUGAAAUCCAUUAGUUUUCGUUUGCACUCCUUUCUUCUUUUCUUAGAUAUUCUGGGAUUGAACUCCGUCUGAAAUCUAGCAGAUUCAUUUUUAGCUUCUUUCAUUCUCGUUAAUGAGCACUUGAACUGUCUUUCUCAGGCGCAAAAAAUAUUGCCGAGAAGAGCAAAGAAGGAAUGGCGAUCAGAAUUGAGUCCUUUCAUACUUUCGUUGAGGAGGAGGAGUUUUUUCUUGUAUCAUAUUAGGAUAUUUUAGUAGAAUAAGAAGAAGAAGAAGAUAAGUACGUAGCGGGCUUUUCUUAUGGCGGAGCGGAGGAGUCCGACUAUCCACUGAAGAAAGUAGGAAAGCCUAAGGAACCUAAAAAGGGCUAAUAGGGGAAGGAAGAAAGCCUAUCCCUCCAGAAUCUUUGAGGACCGAAGGACUUCUUUAUAUCCCUAUUUAUUUAUUUAUGGGACUCCCAGAAAGGUUUAGUUCCAUAAAUCAGUCGGCUAAUAUAUAGGAUGAAAGUAGAUAGAGAGGAAAAGAAAAAAGUCGUCACUCUUAAGGAGUGCAAGAAGGAAUCUUUGAACCUUUUAUCCUGAUCUCUCUCAUUCUACAACUCAGUCGAGCCACUAUUCAACCUUCUUUUCGAGGGGACAUCAUGUCCUCUUAUCUUAAUCCCAUAAAUCAUUUAAGGCGAUACUGAAAGAAGAAAUCCAGCAACUUAAUCCGGUAGAGUCAAUUCGAGACUAAGACGAGUUGGGGUUUCGACCAUAGGCUUUCCUUCCAAACCUACUAUACUAAACCUACCCCCGGACUCAAGGCGCGAAGUGAAGCGGCUGCCCACUUUUUAGAAAUAAAGAGCUGAGAUAAUUCUUUUCACUCAUUGAGGUCGGCUAAAUUCAAUGGAUAAAGAAGUCCUUUGCUUCAUUCUAUAUGUCCUUAUCAAUGAGACCAUUAAUCAGUCCGAAGGACUAUCCAAAGAAAAGAAUAUCCCUGUCUUAUGGGGCCUCCGUAGCUUAAUAUGGAGCGCUCCGGACGAGUCUUAACUAAUAUUCCCAAUCAAAGAAUUAUCGAAAGAAUGAUCGACGAGUCUUAUUCCACUAAAAUAGUAGUCCUUCGGAGCAGUCUUAAUACUCCUAAAAUCAAAGCUCCAGAUGAGUUUCAUUCCACUAAAAGACGAAAGAAGGUAUCUCAGUUACCAAAGAGAAAGAGCUUCCACAAACCACUUCCACAUAAACUUCUGCUAAGUCUACUUCUGUUAUUGAUUCAACUUAGCCUUUAAUCAGAUUAGGACCUAGCUAGCCAACCUUAUUCCUUCCUCUUCCUUACUUUGUUCUCGCUUGCUUCGGCAACACAUCUUUGGAUACUGGAUAAGCUGCAAGAGAAAGACUUCUUCCGAUCGAUCAGCUACCCGAUUCCUCCUUCCCCGAUGAUAAGGUUAGCAGGCCCGAUCCUCUCCUAUUGAAAAAGAAAGCAGAAAUCUUUCAGUCCAGAGUAUUUAUCCGUAGCCCGGAGGAUUUAUCCGUAGGACCAUCUGUAAUUAACCGAAGUAGUCUGCAGUCUGAAGUCCGCAGGAUUUAUCCGGAGGACUAUCCAUUAGAAGUAGGACCAUCCAUAUGGAAGGAAGUAGUCCAGAAUCCGCAGUCCGCAGGAUUUAUCCGUAGGACUAUCCAUUUUCAGUCGGACUAUCCAUAUGGAAGGGAGCGAAAUCUAGCUAUGAGGACUCUUUGAGCUCUUCUUUGAGUCAGUGGCUGCCCUUCCAGAAGGAGCAGCGAAGUCCGCGGUUUCAGAGGUUUAUGUAGCAGUUCUUCUUUAAUAAGAUGCUUACUUUCUUUCGGGUAGAAAGGUUCACUCGUGAACGCACUACUACAGAAAUUGGUUUACUUGACGUUAAUACAAUGUCAAGUAAAUGUAUACUUGACGUUUUUAAAAGCGUCAAGUAUUCGACUGUCAAGUAUAGUUACAUUACUUGACACUAAAAAACUGUCAAGUAUACGUUUACUUAACACUGUAUUAACAUCAAGUAAUCGACUGUCAAGUAUAGUCACAUUACUUGACACUAAAAUAUUGUCAAGUAUACAUUUACUUGAGACUGUAUUAACGUCAAGUAUUAUAUCAUACUUGAUGUUUAUUACGUGUCAAGUAAGAUCAUACACAUGACGCCUUUUACAUGUCAAGUAAAGUCGUAUACUUGUCAAUUUUUGCACUUCAAGUAAGAUUGUAUACUUGACACUAUGUAUCCGUCAACUAAGAUGAUAUACUUGACACUAUUUAUCCGUUAAGUAAAAUAGUAUAUUUGAUUCUAAGAUAGUAUACUUGACAUGUAUCUAACGUCAUGUAUACCAUUUAUUAAUAUAUUAAAUAUAUAAAAAAUUUCAUUUCCUGUUUUCUGUAUUACGUACAUUCAUUUCAAUAAAACAUAUUCAUCGACAAAAUAAACUCUCCAACUAGUAGUUACACAAAAAAUAAUUUAGUAUAAGUAAACCAACAAUAAUUUUAUUACUCUCAACAACAUCGUCAACAAUUACACAAUUCCAAUCCAAUAUAGUCAACUAAAAUUUCCUAUAUGUGGCCUAUUCCAAAAUCAACAAAAUAAUUAUCUUAUAUAACCAAAAACAUGUGUGGUAUACCAAAACUAAAAUCUAUCCCUUUACAUCUAUUGCAUGUACAUAAGCAUAAUAGCUAUGAACGAAACAUUUACAAAAAAAAAAAAAAAAAGUUAUGGGCAUUCCCAUAUAUUAGUCAUUCACAAAAUUAAUAAGAUCACAUCUAAGGAUGUCUAUCAUAUGUACAAAGCUAAAAAUUUAGCCCACUCCGCUCAUACUUCAUCCAAUUCAAGCUGUGAGUAGAAACUCUUGUAUCAGUCUAUAAAACAUAAAAAAUCAAGUAGACAUUUGUUAAAAAUAAAAAUUAAUCAGAUAAGUAACUUAUUUCCAUCAUAAAAAAAUAAUCCCCUUGUAAAAAAUUCUACAUUGUAAGGAGGAUAUUGUAAACCUAAACAUGAAUAUUUAAACCUAUAUGAAACUAAGUACAAACAUAAAUUAGAAAACCUACACUAAAUAAAUAUUGUUAAUGCUCAAAAACAGUUAAAAAUUAACUUAAAGAAUACCGUAUAACUUAAGCAAGUUUCCCAGAUCAUAAUACACAAGAGUACCUAUUCAACUGAGUUAAGUGCUUCAACACCUCCCCGCAUCUGCAAAGAAAAACAUUACAAGAGUAAAGGGAGAGACAAAAAAACGAACUUCCUUUGAUCUUCUUACAACAUUCACAUUUAUCAAGCUCCACUAAAUCACUAAUAAACCAAGAGGACACUAUUGCUUACCUAUUUAUUGCAGAGAAUCUGGGUUCAAGACAAAAAGAACAAAAUAAUUAUACACCAAAUAUUUUGAAGAUUAUUGAAUAGAAAUGUGUAUAUUGUUCACGUGAAAAUUUCACCUACCAUUCUGCAAAUCAAAACAAAUUCUUUGAAUGAAACCAAAUCAUCGAUGAACUCUCACCACCCUGAAUAAAAAACCAACGAAAUCAAUCAAAGAAAACAAAUACAUUGAACUCAAAAAACAAAAAAGAAAAACUCUCAUCCUCUAACAUUCAGUAGUGAACGAAAAAGGGAAGAAAAUCAGAGGGGGGCGGCUUUUCGGUGAGAAGAAAAUCAGAAGGGGGCGUGUCCAGUGAGGAGAAGGGAGAUCGAGAAGAACUCCAGUGGUGAAGAAAUUCGGUGGGGGCCAUUCCACGUGAAGAAAAUCAAAGGGGAAGGGGGCUUUUCGGUGAGAAGAAAAUCGGAAGGGAAGGGGGACACGUUCGGUGAGAAGAGGGGGGCGAGAAAAGAAAUUUGGUGGAGGGUCGUCUGACGUGAAGAAAAUAAGAGGGGGCUUUUUAGUGUGAAAAAAAUCGGAAGGUUGCGUGUGAUAAGGGAAGAGAGGCAGCAUGUGAGAGAAAAUAGGAAAAAGGAGGGAAAAUGAAAAGAGGGAAAGGGUUGGGGAAAAAAAUUUGGGAAAUAAGUUAGGUUUUUUUAGAAAUAGAGAAAAAUGGAAAAUUUAGAGAAAAAAAGAGAAAAAAGUUUUAGAACUUUAGGAUGAAAAAAAUAAUUGGAAAAAAAAGGGAAAAGUUUUUUUUUUUUUUUAGAAAAUAGAGAAAAUAUAUAUUACUUUUGAUAUUUUAAUAAGUUUAUUGUAAUAAUUUUAUUUUAAUUAAUUAUUUAAUGAAAGGAGGGAAAUAAAAAGUAUUUUAUAUUUUUAUACUUGAUAAAAUAAAAAUGUUAACUAUACUUGACGUUAUUUCUGCAUCAAGUAAACAUUAACUAUGUUUGACGUGAAAAAAAUGUCAAGUAAAAGUUGAACUAUACUUGACACUAAAACACCGUCAAGUAAAUUCGACACUAUACUUGACAUGGAAAAAAUAUGAAGUAAAAGCUAAUGUAAGAUAAUUAAAAAAUUUCAUGAAAAUUUUGCUUUCUUUAAACUAUACUUGAUGUUUUGUUCGUGUCAAGUAAAAGUUCAUUAUACUUAGCGCAAAUAAAACGUUAAGUAAAAUCUCCCUUAUACUUAACGAGAAAAAAACGUCAAAUAAAAGCUAACUUAAAAUAGUUUGAAAAAUUUCGUAAAACUCCACUUUUUAAAAACUAUACUUGACGUUUUUUCUUUAAAAUGGUCAAUACUUGACAUUUUUUUAAUAAAAACGUCAAGUAUGUAAAAGUACCUAGUGUCAAGUAAAGUAGAUUUUGUAGCAGUGACGGUACACCUCUUAUAUGAUGCCUGGGGACUUUGUCCCUUCUUCUACGGAUUUCUCUUAUAUGAUCUUAUUCAUCUCCGUAUCGUUCAUAUAUUCAUUCUAUAAAAUCCCUAGCUGCCACAGAUGGUCGAACUUGCCUCUUAAGUGGCGUGGGUCGAUCCUCUUGUUGACUUUUACCUAGGAGUGGGGGGAAGAAGUUCGAGAAUAAUUUCUCUUCUUUCCCUGUCCCAGUUCUUCUUUCCACUUCUACUUAAGUCACCACGACUGAUACAGAUGCAAGAACAUCAGGGCGAGCAGGGAAGAGGCGGAGGGAGUUUGCACUUUUUCAUGCGGGUUUGAGUGAGACUGAUGCGCCCUAGGUCAAGCCAUUGCUUCGUCUUGUUCAUCACAUUCAUUAUGUUCACAAUUCCGGAAUCAAAGUAGAAAUACGAGAAAGCGCUCCAGCGGACUCUAAUUCAUUGGGAAUUCUAUCUUCCCGCCUCAAUGAACAAGGUGAAAAGAAUAUUAAAUGAAUCAUUGAGUUAAGGCGGUGGAACCUAGGAGUGGGACCGGGAACAUGAUAGGCUUCAAUCUAAGAAGUGAAUAUAGUAUUGAAAGAGGCCCACGGAGCGAUGUCCGACUAUCCUACUAUCGAAGCCUUGAAGCAUGAGUCUUGAGGUUUUCAAAGUCUACUCAGAGGACGAGGUUGAAGUUUCAUAGGGAAAGGUUUCAUAACAAGCAGUUGUUUUCCGUAUCGAAUGCUCUUUCAUUCCUUAUUCGAAAGAAGGCAAAGAAAGUGGAAACUAAAUCCUUGGAUUCUUUCCCGCUUGAACCAUGAAAGGUUAGGCCUUAGUUACGAUCUCAUUCAAUGCCCUAGCAUACUCAAAGGUUCGGGGCGUAGUGGAUGGAGCUAGAAGACUACUACUUGGACGAGGGAUUUCCUUUCUCUUAUUGUAAUACUCCUAACCACCCCUUUUUGAAUGGGCAGGCCCCUCUGGUCGAGUUUACCCUUUUUAUUCAGGCCUAUCUGCCUCCGUUCAUGAAGGACAAAAUCGGAUUGAGCCCUUGUUCAUUGAGGCGUAUAAGCCCACGUAGCGGUGCCAUAAGACAGGUCUGAAGGCGUCACAGGUCCGGAGGACCCGUCUGUCCGAAGGACGAGAUAUUUAUAAUGUUGAGAGAAAGAUUAGACUUUGUCAGGACCCUUAUUUCCGUUAUUUUUCACUUUCAAUAUUCUUAAGAAUAUUCAUUCAUCCGACAGAGCAAAGUUCAUCCAGAUCCCCAUAUGAAUUAGGCGAAGGACUGAUUUUCAAAGUCAGAGCUAUCCCUCAAAUUCUUUGAGCCUCUGCACUCAAAUUCUCUAAUGGAUAGUCCUUCAGACCGCUAGGAGUAAAGAAUAUUGUGUGGAACUGAACUAAUAUGGAAAAAGCAUUUCCUAUUGAUUUCUCCCCUGGACUGGACCUAUUCUGAUUCUGAAUUAUCCGUCGCUACGUUGUUCCCAUGGACUAGCAAAAUCGAAAUAGCGAAAUUCUUGGGUCAUCUCAAUGGGUUCAGAAACCACACGUUUCUCUGGAUCAUCAUAGCGUACUUCCACAUAUCCACUCAGAGGAAGGUCUUUUGUAAUGGAUGACCCUCGAAACCAUAAUAUGUUGAUAUACGGCGUAGAUCCGGAUGAUUGAUGGAAGAAACACCAAACAUAUCCCAAACUUCUCGCUCCCACGGCCGGCUGAUGGAAAUAGACUGACUACCGGAGAGAUUCGUGUUACUUCGUCUGCACUGGUUUGUACACGAAUGCGUGAGUUAUACCGAGUACUCAGUAAAUUAUAGACCACUUCAAAUCUGAGUUUUCUAUAUAUAUUUAUAUUGAUGUUAAUAUGUUACCUUGUAAUUGGAAUGGUGAUUUGAAUAAUCUAAUAGGAUUAUGUGUUUGGAUCAAAAUAUGUUGCAAGAGAAAUAGCUAAAUGUGUGGAUUUAGUGACAAAGAGGGUAUUCAUGUGUUUAUUUUAGUUUUCUCAGUGAGGACUCGAUUUUUAGAAGAAACGACCACUGUUCGAAUCAUUCAAAACUUUGUUCCGAACAAAAAUUUUGGACUUUGUCAUUGUCCUCUUCGUCGAAUGUGACAAACUUGAAGACAACGAUGAAACAUUGAAAGAUUACUUGGAUCGAAAAUGUCCUGUGGGGUUGAAAGAUACCAUAGCCGCUAGCAAGAACUGUUGCUUGGUUUUCAAUAACAAAACCGAUAAUGAAACAAAGAAGAUUGAAUAAGUGGAUAAACUUAUAAAGAUGGUGCAUGAAGUUGUACAACAAAAUGAAGGAAAAGCAUACACUCAUGGCUUGUUUUCUAAUGUCAAGUUUGAGACCAAGUUGCAAGAUGAUGUGAAAACCAAGCUUGAACACACAAUUACAGUUCAAAACACAAGCAAAAUUUAAAGCAUAACAAGGAGCACAAGAACUUCAACAACAAUCUAUUGAUCAAAUUCGAGUCCUCAAAGACCAUCUAUGCAUCAAGACUUGAAAGGUCACUGUCACUACCAAUGCUUCCACAAAUUAUUCGUCAUGGUCGCUGCAUGAGAAAAGGUUGCAUUAUUGUAUGACUUUACUGUGCAUGCAUUCAAUAAAUAUGUACAAGUAAUUAGUAUAAUGAAUAUAUACUAAAUAAAAAUAUGAAAAAACUGUGAAAAAAAACUUAUUUGAUUAACUGCUAUAAAAAUUAAUAUUUGAAAAUUGGCAUGUGUUCUCGAAACUAAUAAAAGCAAGUUUGGAAAUGCCUUUAUUUUGUCUUUGUUGAGUGUAGUGUAAAUUGGCAAAUAUAGAAUGCUUAAUUAUGUUGUUAAUUAAUAGAAAAUUAUUUUAGAAGUUUUGAUGAAUGUCCAACUACAUGUGGAAAGAAUUAUAAAGGAUUGAAAAAUGAUUCUAUAAUCUAGCCCAAACAAGAGGUGGGUUAUUAUAGCUCACUUCACUUCUAUUUAGUUUGGGACCCAAAUAGCCUCUUAAAAUUAGGUUAACUCCAUAACUAAUAAGGGUCUUUAACUCAUAUAGUCUAAAUGCUAUAUGAUAUUACAUGAAUGAUCCAAAUUACUAAUAAAUUUCAUAAAAGUCCUAAAUGGACUAGUAUAUUACAUAAAUGUAGGCUCAAAUUACUUUAAUACCAAUUUAUAUUAUUUAAUUGAUUUAUAACAAAUAUCUAAAUGAAAAAAACCGUGGGAUAUAGUUUUGGAAAGAAGUGGGGUCCAAAUUAAUUUAAUAUCAACUUCUAUUAUUUAAUUUAAUUGAUUUAUAACAAAUAUCUAAAUGGAAAAAAUGGUGGAACACCGUUUUGGAAAUAAGUGGGGUCCAAAAUAAUUUAAUACAAAUUUUUAUUAUUUAAUUGAUUUAUAACAAAUAUCUAAAUGGAAAAAAUAAAGAGAUACAGUUUUGGAAAGAAGUGAAAAACUUUUCAUGCUUUCCUACCACGAAAAUGGUUGUCUACUCCUUUCAACGUGGAUUACGAUUUUUACUUCAAAAUUUUAGAGAGUUCGGAGGUGAAGAAGAAGACAGUCGACGACCGACAAAUACAAAACUUCUCGAACAUAAUCUAGUUAAAAACUUUGAAGUUAGUAUUGUAUAUAUUCAACACAUAUGAAACAUUAGAUAUAUUAUGUAUAUUUUAGAUAUUCAAUUAAAUAGUCAAUCAAAUGAAAAUGUAGUUUUGAAUGUGAUACAUUUUAGGGUUUAUUGAGAUUUCGGCGGUGAAGAAGAAAACUUUUGAUGGCCAAAAAAUACAAAACUUAUCCGACAGAAUCUAGCUAGAAAAUUUGUGCUUAAUAUUAUAUAUAUUCAAAACAAAUGAUUAGAAACAUUUAGUAUAUUAGGUAUAUUUUAAAUAUUCGAUUAAAUAGACAAACAAAUGAAAAUAUAUGAAACAUUUGGUAUAUUAGGUAUAUUUUAAAUAUUUGAUUAAAUAGACAAACAAAUGAAAAAUUAGUUUUGAAUGUGAUACAUUCUAGAGUUUAUUAAGAAUUCAACGUUGAAAAAGAACGGUCAUCCUAUCAAAAAAAUAAUAGAACUAUAUAUAUAAUAUGAGGUAUAUAUAUAUAAACAUAGAACAUAACUAUUAUAGAUUACGGAUAUAUUAAAGUAUAAUGUAAUCAAAUACAUUUAUAAAGGAAAAAUAUGUAUGUAUGAUCAUGUCGUUUACUACCGUUUUAGUAAUAUUUAUUCUACAAACACAAAUUAUGUAGGAAUUAUGUAUAAGGUAUUAUUGUAUAUAAUAUGAGGUAUAUAUAUACUAAAUAACAUAUAUGAAUUAAAGUGUAUAUUUUAUUAGUGAAAGGUUCUUAUAUCAAUUUGUUUAUGAUUUUUAUUUAAAUAUUCAUAUAUUAUGUAGUAAAUAAUACGUUAUGUUUGAAAUAAUAUUGAUUAUGUAUUAAAGUUGCCCAUUAGACAGUUUUUUAAUAAAAUAUACCUAUUAUAUUAAUAUAGAAAAUGGGAGGAAAUCGUGCAACAUUAAAAUAGGAAACUUCUUUACCAUUUUCUCACUUUCCAUAUUCAACGAAAAGCUUGCCAUUUCGACAGUCAAUGACAUAUACAACAUAUUAUAUAAUGCGAUAAUAUUAUAAAACUAGUAUAAUCAUAAAUAAGAUGUGAUAUAUAUUUAAGGGAAAUAUUAAAAAACUGAUAAAUUCAUAAUAGAAUAACGUUAAAAUAAGGAGAAUAUUGUUAAUAUAUAAUAUAUAUACGCAUAUGAUAUACUCAUAAUGAACUAAUUUUAAAUGGGUAAAAUAACAAAUGACAUAUUUAUGUUAUUCUUCAUAUAAAACAUCAACUAAAAGUAUUAUAUCUCACGGUUAAUAUAUAAAACUAUUAUAAAUGUAAACAAGAUGUGAUAUAUAUAUAUAUAUAAUAAAUCACAUAUACAACCUAUUAUAUCAUCCGAUAAUAUUCUAAAAUUAGUAUAAUCAUAAAUAGUAUGUGAUAUAUGUUUAAAGGGAAUAUUAAAAAACUGGUAAAAUCAAAAUAGAAUAACAUUAAAAUAAGAGGAAUAUUGUUAAUAUAUACUAUAUAUACGCAUAUGAUAUACUCAGAAUGAACUAAUUUUAAAUGGGCAAAAUAACAAAUGACUGUGGAUUUUAUCUUAUCUUCAGGUGAUGGACAAUUGUAUAUGACGGCGAUUUGUUAAGAUUCUGCAGCUUACGGUUAUGAUAAAUUUGAAUACAAAUUUAUAAAACAAUGUAAUAAGAAGUUCAAAUGAUGGAGAAGAAUAGCAAAAAAAAGCUGUCGGCGAUGGAGAAGAUAAUGUAAUGGCUGCCAGAGAGAGUGAACAAUUAGGUUAAGUUAUAUUUUUAGAAAGAAUAAUUAAAUAGUUUAUUACAAAAUAAAGUAAAAUUACAAUUAUUAUAAUAUAUUCUGAUUUAUAAUUAAUUUAAAAGAUACUUGAAAUUAUUAACAUAUUAAGGUCUUUUGUUUAAAAGUUUCAACUAAUAAUAAUGAUAGUUCUCAUUAACCAAUUGACAAAUGAUUGAUAUUGUCAAAUAAUCGAUAUUGUCAAAUGAUCGAUAUGUGCAAGUGCACAUUUCAAUUAUAAUAUAGUAAAACGUUCUUAGAGAUCGAGCUAGUAUCCUUUUAAGAGGGAUCAAAUUAACAAAUUAAUUUAUUGAUUUUAGGAUUAGAUGUGUUUUAAGGAUAAAAACAAUGAUUAGAAACUAAUAAAAGAUCCCUAAAAGACAAAUAUGAAAUCUCAAAGAAUAAAAAAUGCUCCAAAAUUGUAUUUGAUUUCACUGUUCAAUCCAUAAAAUCAUGAUGUGUAUAGGUUAUAUGAAAACUAGUGUCAGUAUGUGUUCAGCUCAAGUUGUUGACUUUUGAAAAAAAUAUCUUUCCAUUCAAACAUAUACAUAGUUUGGUUGGUAGUUUUUCUUCAAAAUUAUUAUUUUGAGAAAACAAAUACAAUUUCUUUUUUAGGUAAUCCAAUAUCCUCGAGUAUAUUUAAAUAUGGAAAUAUUAUUUCCAUAUUAGAAGAGAUACUAAAAGAUCUUAUUAUAACAUCAUUAGAGUCCCAUCAUUUUCUCUAAAUAUCUCUUUUGUGGUGAAAGAUUUGGAAUUGCACAUCAAUCAUUUUGGAAUGGGUAAUUGAUCACCCUAUUUUUCAAAAAAUAAGAAAGAUAAAAAAUAGUUAUUUUUUUUAAAGAUAUAUUUGAAAGUGUUGAGUUUAUGGAAGGUAUUAGUACUUAUACAACCACAAACAUUUGAUUUUUGUUAUCUAAAUUAUUUUAAUAAAAAUGUUUUUUUUUUUUUGAAGUUUAUGCUUAUUAAAAAUGCUUAUUUAAAAAAUGUUAAUGAAAUUUUAAAAAAUAAAAUCUAAUUAAACACUUCUGAGAUAGAGAGGUUUCCCUUGACUACCCGAGCGUAGAUAAACACUUCUGAGAUUUGGUUGGUAAUCCCAAGUUCGUGUGCAGUUGAUUAUUUUUUAAAUUUUGUAUAGUUGAAUAAUAUUUGAAUUUUAAAUUUUCAUCUAUGUGAUAUUUACUCAUUUCAAACUUUUUGAAUAUGCAUGUUUAUUUAUUAUUCUGCCGUCUCUCUAUUGUAUUUUAAAAUUUAGAAUAUGUGUAUUUAUAUUAUUUGAAAUUGAAAAUUUAACUUUUGCUCUUACAGUAGGCUUUAACUCUUUGUUUGUCCGUGUUGUAGGUGAGAGAGAAGGAAAAGUUCCAUUGUUUGAUUGAAUUGGAAUUGUUUCGUGCAUGGGGUGUCAUACAUAAUUCCACUUAUUACUAGUUGAAGGUCUUCUUUGCCUCUGUCUUCUUCCCCAUCUCCCCAAGUUGUUCUAACCUUUUUAUAUCUACCUAUUACAUGUCAAAAGGUUGUUUCGCUCUUCAAUGUUUUGAAACAAGUUCAUUAUGAAAAUCUCUCACAAGCAAACGUCAUGUGCAUUAUGAAUAAUUUCAUCUCAAAAAAAUUGUUUGAGAGGUUUCAAAAGUGUAUCGAAACUAAUAAUUUUAAUGAAUAAAAAAAUAAUUCUUCGUUAGAUUCUUACAUUUUAUUUCAACGAAUAAAAUUUAGGAAAAUUUUUAAAAAUAGCAAAUUUUACAAAAAUAUUUACAAUUUAUAACAAAUUUAUAGUCAUUGAUAUGCUAUAACGAUAGUUACUAGUAAAUAUUUUAAUUUAUUUUGUUAUUUUUAAAAAUGCUCAUAAAAUAUUAUAGUGAGGGAACAAUGAUGAAUCACAUAGUUUUCUUGUGGUGAUGUCGCUUUUUAUCCCUCUUUACAUUCUAAAAUCUCAAAUACAAAUCAUAAAACAAGUAGAUAUACAUUCAAUUAACAUGAUUUUGAUUCUAAUAAAUUAGAAAGACAAAAAUAACUAACUAAUUAUGGAAAAGUAAUAUUUUAACAUGAAUUAUUGAUUUUUAAUUAGAGGUAAUUUUAAAAUAAAUAAAAUAAAAGAAAAUAUUACAAAUCAAAUCUAAACUAACUUUGAUUUUACUUCUUUAAUUGCAAUAUAACAUAGAUACAUUGGCUAUGAAGUGCAAUUUCUUAUAUUAUAAUAUUUAAAAGAUUUAAAUUUAAAAAUAAAAAUAAGUAAUCUCAAGUCCAAUAUUGGACCUGUGGGGCUUAGCCCAUCAAUUUAAAAAUUCAAAAUGCACACUCAACGGUCACAUUUUCCUAGGAUCAUCCUAUUUAAUGCCCUUCUACUUGUCAACUCCAUCGAAAUCCUUCAUUUCUUGUGGCACCGUCUAAAAUUUGCUUCGAUUGAAGAAAUUUUGACGCCCAUGACAGCGUUGAAAUUUCUUCAAUGCAAACAAAUUUUUUAUCUUCCUUUCAUCGAGGAUUUUCAUACCAUGUGAAGGAGAGAUCAGUUCCAUCAGUUCCAAGUCGUUCGUGAGUCAUCUUCUUUCCUGUGUAGUUUCAUCUCUUGAUUUUGGAUUGCUUGUUCAAGAUUUAUUUUCGAAUUUUGGAUUGUUUGCUAUUCGGAUAGGCAGAAGGUUUGCACGAUGAUAGAUCUGGAGUACCUGAAUCGUUUAUUGAUUCUGUAGUUUAAUCUUAUGAUUUUGGUGAUUUCGAAGCGUACAAUAUAAUCGUACUGUGUUAUGAAGUAAAUAAGAUUUUGUAGGGUUUUUGAAAGUUAAUUUAGAUAUUUCCUGCAUUUUAGUCUUGAUAGAUCUGGGUACCUGAACCGUUCAGGUUUGCAUGCUGUGAUUGUGUUGUUCUUUUUUGAUUUUGGAGAGAGUCCUUGGGUAAUUUUGAGGAUUGUUCUUUUUUUAGUUUUUUUUUGCAUGCAUUCAAACACACGCAUGGUUUUUAAACUGGGGUUCUUGAAUAUUUGUUGGUUUUCUCGAAUAUUUGCCGGUUUUUUUUUCUCAGAAGAAUUGAUCUUAUAUUUGUGUAUCUCUCUGUGCAACUUUAAUAUAAAGUUAUUAAGGAAGAAGAGAAAGGAGGAAGAAGGGAGAGAGAAAAGGUAGAAACGACCUAAUAGUAGGCAUGAGUAUUAAGAUGCAGCAGAGCCACCACUUAGUGGCGCUAAGGUUUAAUGAGCAAAUUGACAGUAGAAAAGGGUCCACAUCCAUACCUAAGUUACUAUUGCUCUGGGUUCUGUUGGUGGCAUUCAUUAGUAUGUUAAACUACAAAGAAAUGGAUGGGUGGUGUUAACAAAGUUAGAAGAAAGUAAGUUCUGGGAAGUAUGUGUGACCAGACGACAAAGAUGCUUCUGCCUCAACUUAGUGUCAGUGUCAAACUAUGUCCAGGCUUUGGCCAUUCUCAUUUCAUUUCCAGUACUUCAAAAUCGUAUCAGCAAUUGAUCAGGAAAAUGUGUUUCGAUUUCUGUCUUUUAUUAGUCUCGGUUAGUUAGGCUUAAGAGUAAGGGAUAUAAUUCAUUUUUCUUGUUUCAGCUAGAAAUUACGUCGAUGUCUUGAUUUUUAGUUUUUUUAGGGCUGUUUGGUUGUUUUUUUAGGGGUGUUUGGUUAGUUAGGCCUAAGAAGUAAGGGCUAGUGAAAGAGAAGCAUUUGAUUGUCCUACAAGUAUCUGAAUCGCCAAUGAAAGCAGAGGUUAUUUCCUCUGAAUUUCCACGAAUUGUUCAGGUUUGGAUUCUGUGAUUGUGUUGUUCUGUUGUUCUCUUUUUUAUUUUGGAGUGUUCUAGGAAAUUUUGAGGUUUGUUAUUUUUUAGUUUUUUUGGCUUGCCUUUAAUCACGCUCGUUUGGGAAUAGACAGGCUUCAGAGAAUGAAUCUCCUUUUUAAGGGUUCGUUGGGAGCGAAGUGACCAUAUGGCAUCCCUUUCUGCACCUGCUCAGUCUCUCUCUUGCCUUUUUCAUACUACAUAUUUUUGUUUCUCAAUUUAGUGUCAGUGUCAACCAUGUCUAUGCUUUGGCCAUUCUCAUUUCCACUUUCCACUACUCUAAAAAUGUAUCUGCAAUUGAUCAGGUAAAAGUGUUUCAAUUCUCUGUCUUUGGUUCAUCUCCGUUAGUUAGUCUUAAGAGUAAGGGAGAUAAUUCGUUUUUCUUGUUUCCCUCCAUGUAUUGAUUUUUAGUUUUUUAGGGAUGCUUGGUUGGUUUGAAUGCACGAAACAUUUGCUGGUACACGAUUCAAACAGCUUGCCCAGUCAUGUUUUUCUAUUUUUUUUUAAUAUUUUGGAAUUUUGCAUGUGUGAUUUCUGUAUAUAUUAUUCUUGCCCUUUUCCUUUAUCAUCAUUUAUUUUGAUUUUGGAGAGGUCUCUUGGUUAUUUGUUAUUUGCACAUAUACAAGGGUUGAAAAUUUCAAUCCCACCUCUCUUUUAUAUUACAUUCAUUUAGUUUUGGCUGUUAUCUAAUUGAACUAUUUGAUCAUCAAAUAAUUGUGUUACCUUUUCUUCUAGAUGUUUAGAUUCAUUUUUCUCACUAUUUUAGUUUUCUUAAUGUGUGACAGUCUUUGUUUUUUAUUGAACUAUUGUGUGGCAGUCUUUAUUUAUUGGUUAUCUUUAGUUUCACUAUUGUUCUUUUUUUAAUGUUUUCUUAGUUUUUAAUAAGUGUGACAAAAUAUGAAUUAAUUUUUUUCUUUGAACAAAUGUGGAAUUUAUUUUCUUUUAAUGUAGUUGUGUCCCCAAUAAAUUUAUUUUGGCGAUUUAACAAUCCAUCAUGUUCUUUUUCAUUUUUCUGUUGUAUUUUCUUCGGUUCUUUGUUGUGGUAUGUCUAUUUUUGAGACAUUCUUAAUUUAGUUUUAUUUCUUUUAGCUUCCUGCAUCAUUUUGUAUUAUGGAUUGUUAUGAAAUUUUGAGAUUAUGCUUUAUUUUGUUUUUUGGUCCUUUGCUGUGAUGUCUUUUGAUUAUUUCUUUUGAGUGAACAGUUCAUGUAAGAUUUUCUGCAUGAGAAUAAAUUGAUUAUUUAAUUUGGUCAAAGAAGUUCAAAAUUUACAUGUGAAAUUUACACUCAGUGGCUGUAAGGUUUAAUGAGAAAAUUGGAAGUAGAAAAGAGUCCACAUUAAUUCAUUCAGCCAAGAGGGCUUGGCAUCCUAAGUUUGCUCUGGGUUCUGUUGGUGGCAUUCAUCAAUAUGUUAAUCUAUUAGGGAAUGUAUGGUUAUAACAAAGUAAGAAGAAUGGAAGUUCUGGGGGAGUAUUUGUGACAAGAGGGCAAGGAUGCUUCUGCAUCAAUUUAGUGUUAGUCAAUCAUGUCUAUGCUUUGGCCCUUCUCAUUCCACUUUCCACUACUACAAAAAUGUAUCUGCAAUUGAUCAUGUAAAAGUGUUUCAAUUUUCUGUCUUAGGUUCAUCUCAGUUAGUUAGUCUUAAGAGUAAGGGAGAUAAUUCAUUUUUCUUGUUUCAGCUAGAUGUUACCCUCCAUGUCCUGAUUUUUAAUUUGGCUUCCUAAGUGUGCUCUAGGUUCUGUUGGUGCAUUCAUCAGUAUGUUAAUCUACAGGUGAAUCUAUAGUUAUAACAUAGUAAGAAGAAUGGAAGUUCUUGGGGAGUUUGUGUGACAAGAGGGCAAGGAUGCUUCUGCAUUAAUUUAGUAUCAGUGUCAACCAUGUUUAUGCUUUGGCCAUUCUCAUUUCCACUUUCCACUACUCCAAAAAUGUAUUAUCUGCAAUUGAUCAGGUGAAAGUGUUUCAAUUUUCUGUCUUUGGUUCAUCUCAGUUAGUUAGUCUUAAGAGUAAGGGAGAUAAUUCGUUUUUCUUGUUUCAGCUAGAUAUUACUCUCCAUGUCUUGAUUUUUAGUUUUUUAGGGGUGCUUGGUUGGUUUGAAUGCAGGAAACUUUUGCUGGUACACGAUUCAAACAGCUUUCCAUGUCAGGUUUUUCUAUUAUUUUUCUUUAAUAUUUUGGAACAUGUGUAAUUUCUGUAUAUAUUAUUCUUGCCGUUUUCCUUUUUCAUCAUUUAUUUUGAUUUUGGAGAGGGUCUCUUGGUAACUUGACUUUUCUUUUAGUUUUGACUGUUAUCUAAUUGAACUAUUUGAUUAUCAAAUAAUUGUGUUACUUUUUGUUCUAGAUGUUUAUAUUCAUUUUUCCCACUCUUUUAGUUUUGUUAAUGUGUGACAGUCUUUGUUUUUCAUUGAACUAUUGUGUGGCAGUCUUUAUUUAUUGGUUAUCUUUAGUUUCACUAUUGUUCUUUCUUUAAUGUUUUUCUUAGUUUUUAAUAAGUGUGACAAAAUAUGAAUUUAUCUUUUUCUUUGAACAAAUGUGGAAUUUAUUUUUCUUUUAAUGUAGUUGUGUCCCCAAUAAAUUUAUUUUGGCGAUUUAACAAUCCAUAAUGUUGUUUUUCAUUUUUCUGCUGUAUUUUCUUUGGUUCGUUGUUGUGCGAUGUCUAUUUUUGAGACAUUUUUAAUUUAGUUUUAUUUCUUUUAGCUUCCUGCAUCAUAUUGUAUUAUGGAUUUUUUCGAAAAUUUGAGUUUGAUCUUGUUUUCUGGUCCACUGCUGUGCAGUUUUUUUUUAUGAGAUAUUUUUAUUUAGAUUUAUUAUCUUUUAGCUUGUUUUGCAUUUUGCAUUAUAGAUUAUUUUUUAAAAUUUUGAGGUUGUUUUUUUUCUUUGAUCUUUUGUUGCGGUGACAAUUUUAAUUUAGAUUUAUUAUCUUUUAGCUUGCUUGCAUUAUGGAUUGUUAUGAAAUUUUGAGAUGAUGCUUUAUUUUGUUUUUUGGUCCUUUGCUGUGAUGUCUCUCUAUAAGACAUUUUUAAUUUAGGUUUAAUAACUUUUAGCUAGCUUGCAUUGUGGAUUGUUAUGAAAUUUUGAGUUUCUGCUUUCUUUUGAGUUUUGGUGAUGCCUUUUUACGAGACAUUUUUAAUUUAGGUUAAUUUUUUAGGUUGCUUGCAUUUAUGGAUUGUUCUGAAAUUUUGACUUUCUGCUUUUGUUUUUUAUGUCAUUUGUUGUGUGAUAUUCUCUUUAUAAGAUAGAGAUAUUUUUAAUUUAGGUUUACUAUUUUUUAGCCUGCUUGCAUUUGGUAUCAUAUAUGAAUUGUUCUGAAUUUUGAGUUUCUUCUUUUUCAGUCAUUUGUUUGCGAUAACUUUUUAUAAGACAGACAUUAAGAUUUAUUAUUUUUGGACUUGUUUGUAUUUUGUAUCACGGAUUGUGGUUUUUUAAAUUCAGAGGAGGAACUAGAAAUUGUUCUUGUGAUAUGUUAAAAUCUAGUUUACUGCAAAGAAUGAAUUCUAAAACAGAGGGUAUGAAUUCGUCAAUAAUUUUUCUCCAUUUCUGCGUUGAGCAAUGUUUAGCUGAUAUGUUUGUGUAUUCUUUACAUUAGUGCAGCACCACAUGCUAAUUUAGGUGUGAAAUGCUAAUUUAGAUGUGAAACACUUCCAAAGAUGACGAGAAAUCAAAGAUUGUCGUAGUAAAAAACCUCACCAGUUUUUCCUUUCAGGUUUUUCUUUUCUUUUUCUUUAAUAGUUUGGAAUUUUGCUGGUGUGAUUUCUGCUUUUCUCUUAUCAUUUAUUUUGAUUUUGGAGAGCAACUUUGGUAAUGUUAAGGUGAUUUAAGAAAAGUUGGUUGUCCAAGAAUCAAUAUUUUUAUAUUACCUUAAAUCUUCCUAAGACAUGUUGGGUCUUUCUUUGGCCUUUGUUAGUGUCUUCUAUUAAGUCUGUUAGUUUCACUUUAGUUGGGUCUUUUUUUAAUUUUAUUUUAUCUUUUAAAUUCCAAAUCCUACUCAUUUGGUCAUGACGAUUGAAUAAUCAUUGUUAAAUUUAUUUCUUGUUGGGAGUGUAGAUUUUAUUUUCUUUUUGGCCUUUGUUAUUUGCAUCUAUACAGGGGUUCGAAAAAUUCAAACCCUUCCCUCUUUUAUUCGACAUUCUUUUAUUUUUAUUAUGUACUAUUGGAUUGUUAAAAAAAUUGUGUUACUAUUUCUUACAUUCCAUAAAGAACCCUUUCUGAUGGAUUAUUUCUUAUUGAACUGUUUUAAAAUUUUGAGUUUCUUCUUUUUCUUUUUUGGGUCCAUUGUUGGGGGAUGUACAUCUUUAAUUUUUUUUUUUUUUUAUAAGAGAUGAUACAUCUUUAAUUUAGAUUUAUUAUCGUUAGCUUGUUUUGCAUUUUGUAUUAUGUUUUUUGAAAUUUUGAGUUUCUUCUUUUUCUUUCUUUGGUCAUGUGUUGUGCGAUGUUAUUUGCAUUAGGGGUGUUUGGUUGGUUGUUUUUUAGGGGUGUUUUGGUUAGUUAGGCUUAAGAAGCAAGGGCUAGUGAAAGAGAAGCAUUUGAUUGUCCUACAAGUAAUAAGCUUCUCCUCAAUCAUUCAACCAUUUUUUUAGUAAAGAAAGAGGCUUCUCCUUUGGCAACCAAAGUCCGUCCUUGGUCAAUAUAUAUCAAAAUAAAUAAGAUCCAUCUUUGGUAAUUUUUUAAAAAAUUAAAUCUAUAAAUACUCAUUUCAUCUCUAAAAUUAUGUGAUUUGUACUUUCUAAAAUUCCCUCGAUGGUACUAAUACACUCUUAUAUUUGUAUUGUAAUUAUCAUGUCCUUUUUCUAUGGUUUUUUAAAGUUAAUUUAGAUCCUUAUUCGCUCUAGGUAUAAGUUGAAUGGAAGAGUUUUUUAGCCUUGAUAGAUCUUGAGUACCUGAAUCGCCGAUGAAACAGAGGUUAUUUUCUCGGAAAUUCCACGAAUUGUUCAGGUUUGGAUUCUGUAAUUCUGUUGUUCUUUUUUUAUUUUGGAGAGUGUCCUGGGUAAUUUUGAGGAUAUUAUUUUUUGUUUUUUUUCGGCUUGCAUUUAAUCACGCGCGUUGGGGAAUAGACAGGCUUCGGAGAAUGAAUCACCUUUUUAAGGUUUCGCUGGGGAGCGAAUUGGCCAUAAGGCAUCCCUUUCUGUUCAGUCUCUCUCUUGCCUUUUUCAUACUAUAUGGUUGUUGAUAUGGGGUUAUUGAAUGAUUGUUGCUUUUAUUUUCAUAAGAAGUGAUCUUAUAUUUUUGUCUCUCUGUGCAACUUUAAUAUGAGGUUAUUAAGGAAGGAGAUAAAGGAGGAAGAAGGGACGGAGAAAAGGAAGAAAUGACUGGAUUGUUGGGAUGGGUAUGAAGAUGCAGUAGAGCCACCACCUAGGGGCUGUAAGGUCUAAUGGGCAAAUUGAAAGUAAAAAAGAGUGCAUCCAUUCAAGCUAAGAGAGCUUGGGUUCCUAAAUUACUAUUGCUCUGGGUUCUGUUGGUGGCAUUGAUUGGUAUUGUUAAUCUACAAGGGAAUUGAUGGUGUUAACUAAGUUAGAAGAAAGGAAGUUUUGGGCGUAUGUGUGACCGGAGCACAAAGAUGCUUCUGCAUCAAUUUACUGUGAGUGUUAAACUAUGUCCAUGCUUUGGUUAUUCUAUUUUCUACUUUCCACUCCUCUCGAAAUGUAUUAGCAAUUGUUCAUGUAAAUGUGUUUCGAUUUCUGUUUGAUACUUCUCAGUUAGUUAGGCUUAAAAGUAUAGAAAUUAUCUUGAUGUCUUGAUUUUUAGGGUUUUUUUCAGCGGUUUUUGGUUUUUGGUUUUUUUUUUGUUGGAUUUUGGCUAGUUAGGCUUAGAGGUGCAAGGACUUGUGAAAGAGAAGCAUUUGAUUGACCAACGAGUAAUUAGUUUCUCCUCAAGCAUCCCACCACUUUUCUAUUAAAGAAAUACAGGUACGUCUACGCUAUUACUUUUCAUGUCCUUUUACUUAAGAUAUUUAUAUAAAUAUAUAUAAAAAUAAAUAAGAUCCAUCUUUGGUAAUUUUUUUAAAAAUCAAAUCUGUGAAUAUUCAUUUCAUCUCUAAAGUUUUGCGUUUUGUUACUUUUUAAAAUUCCCUCCAUGUUACUAUUACACUCCUAUAUUUGUGUUGUAAUUAUGAUGUCCUUUUUCUAUGGUCUGUUAAAGUUAAUUUAAAUCCUUUCUUGCUCUUGGUUUAUGUUGAAGAAAUGGAAGAGUUUUUUAGCCUUAAUAGAUCUGGAGUACCUUAAUCGCUCUUGCAUUUUGUGAUUCUGUUCUUUUUCUAUUUUGAAGAGUGUCCUGAGUAAUUUUUAGGAUUUUUAUUUUAUAGUUUUUGUCGCUUGCAUUUAAACACGGACUUGGUUGUUGAACUGGGGUUCUUGAAUAAUUGUUGGUUUUGUUUUCUGAAGAAGUGAUCUUAUAUUUGUGUAUCUCUAUGUGCAACUUUAAUAUGGGGUUAUUAAGGAUGGAGAUAAAGGAGGAAGAAUGGAGAGAGAAAAGGCAGAAAUGACUUAAUUGUUGGGAUGAGUAUGACCCCAUGUCUAGUAGUUCCCAAGUAUGAUAUAGGAAGGCAGAGAGUCAAGGCCUUGUCUGACUCUAAUAGAAUUAAGUAGCUAACGCAACACAAUAUUCUUUGCACCUUCAGUCUGUGAAUCUGAGGAGCAAGAGUUUGGCCAGAGGAGCUAGUCUCGUAACUACGGGCGCAGUUCUAGUUCUUUACAAGACAGAUGGGAACUGUAGCUAACAAGUGUGCCCUGAGUGGAUUCCUACCACUACUCUUUCUACUAUAUUGGCAGGACGGGUGCCAAGUUAUUAGUAGCUAGGCAGCUAAGCCAGUAGUAGUUCAGUUCAGGUGCUGUUCCCAAACCUAGUUGACUACGUUGUAGCGUAGCGGUACGGGACAGAAAAAGAAUUGAUAGCGGUACACUGAACACAAAGAAAUUUGAUAGACAUAUGUUGAGAGUUCGACAAGUAGCACUGAAUCUACUAUCAGUAGUGAUUUAUAGAAGUUGACUCGCUUAAACGAAGAGAGUGAACAAAGCAUAGCGGAGUGAAGAGAGAAAUGGUUUCAUUAGAUAGCUCUCUCGAUGUCCUUGUUAUCUUUCCUAGGUAGAUUGUGACUUAUUCAUUCUUUCUCGCUGACUCUAGUUUCCCCGCCGUGGAUCCUUUCUCUGUUAGGCGCUGUAAUUUAGAAUUCAGAAACGUAUCUGUCUUAUUAUCUUUGAGUCAAAGCAAUGUUACAUAUUUAUAUAGAUAAUAAGCUAAACCCUAGAGACUAUGUAAAAUUACAAUAAAGGACAUAUGUAUAUAUAUAUAUAUAUCAUAACACUCCCCCUCAAGUUGGAGCAAAUAUGUCGAUCAUGCCCAACUUGUUGCACAGAUAGCUUAUCCUUGUUCCAUUUAAAGCUUUAGUUAGAAUAUCUCUCAAUUGUUCUCCGGUCUUCACAUAUCCUGUGGACACCAACCCAUCUUGGAUUUUCUCACGAAUGAAGUGACAAUCCACCUCAAUAUGUUUAGUUCGUUCAUGAAAUACUGGAUUAGAUGCAAUAUGAAGUGCAGCUUGAUUAUCACACCAUAAUUUAGCUGGCACGGUAAUACUGAAGCCUAUCUCAGAUAAUAGUUGGUGAAUCCAUACUAUUUCACACACAGAUUGUGCCAUAGCUCUAUAUUCUGACUCAGCACUCGAACGAGAAACAACAUUUUGUUUCUUACUCUUCCAUGAAACUAAGUUUCCACCUACAAAAACACAAUAUCCAGAAGUCGAUCUCCUAUCCUCACGAGACCCCGCCCAAUCAGCAUCAGAAAAACAUUCAACUCUCGUAUGUCCAUGAUCUUUGUAUAGGAUCCCACGUCCAGGAGCAGCUUUUAGAUAACACAAAAUCUGCUCUACUGCAGCCCAAUGAUCCACUGUAGGGGAAGACAUGAAUUGACUUACAACACUUACAGAAUAUGCAAUGUCUGGUCGAGUCACUGUUAAGUAGUUCAACUUCCCAACUAAUCUCCUAUAUCUCUCAGGAUCUUUACAUAAUUCUCCUUCUUUAACAAGUUGCUGAUUUGGCAUCAUUGGAGUGCCACUUGGUUUGGUGCCUAAUUUUCCUGUUUCAGACAACAAAUCAAGUACAUAUUUUCGUUGAGACAAAUAAAUACCUUUCUUGCUUCUCAUCACUUCAAUGCCCAAAAAAUAUUUCAAUUGGCCCAAAUCUUUUGUAUAAAACUGACCCUGAAGGAAAGUUUUGAGAGACGAAAUACCCAAUGCAUCAUUUCCAGUAAUAACAAUAUCAUCAACAUAUACAACUAGUAGAACUAUACCCUUCUCAGAUCGGCGAUAGAAAACUGAAUGAUCAGAUGUACUCUUCUUCAUACCAAAGCAUACAAGGGCUUGACUAAACUUACCAAACCACGCACGAGGACUCUGUUUCAAACCAUACAGAGAUUUUCGAAGGCGACAUACUUUAUCACUCUCCCCCUGAGCAACAAACCCUGGUGGUUGUUCCAUAUAAACUUCCUCUUGAAGAUCACCGUGAAGAAAAGCAUUCUUAAUGUCAAGUUGAUGCAACGACCAUUUAUUGGUAGCAGCCAUGGAAAGAAAUAGGCGAAUGGAAGUUAACUUGGCAACCGGAGAGAAUGUAUCUGAAUAAUCAGUGCCAUAGAUUUGAGCAUAACCUUUGGCAACAAGGCGAGCCUUUAAACGAGCCACUGUUCCAUCAGGAUUCAUCUUGACAGCAAACACCCAUUUACAACCAAUGGCCUUCUUUCCUGCAGGACGAGAUACCAAAUCCCAAGUAUCAUUAUCAUCUAAAGCAGUCAUCUCCUCAAUCAUUGCAUUUUGCCAGCGAGGAUGAGACAAAGCUUCAUGAACAGAGUUAGGAAUAGAUGUGGACUCAAGAGACGUAAUAAACGCAUAUGUGGAGGGAGAUAACUGGUGAUAGGAAAUAAAGGAAGAAACGGGGUAAGUACACUUGCGUUUACCUUUGCGAAGAGCAAUGGGAAGAUCAUCACUUGGCGCUGGAUCACAUGAUGAAGGAAGCAUUGAUGGAGGACAUGAGUCUGAAGGUUGUGGUGGAGGUCGUCGGGAGUAGACUUGAGAAAUCAACGGGCGGGAAGGAGGCACAUCAGUAGACAAGGAUGGUGUGGGAGAGGUAACCUCAUAUAUAAAAAGAUUGUCAUCCUCCCCCUGACACAAACUCGAUGGUGAUGAAGUAAAGGGUGUAUCUUCAAAAAAGACAACAUCAGGCGAAACCAGAUACCUUUUAAGGGUAGGACAAUAACAACGAUAACCCUUUUGAACACGUGAAUAACCCAAGAAGAUACACUUCAAGGAUUUGGGAUCUAACUUAGUAUGAUGAGGACGAACGUCACGAACAAAAGACACAACCAAAUAUCUUAGGAGCAAUAGGAAACAAAUGCUUGGUAGGAAAAAGAACACGAUAGGGAAUCUCACCAUUAAGAACAGAGGAAGACAUUCUAUUAAUCAAAAAACAAGCUGUAGAGACAGCAUCAACCCAAAAGAUUUUUGAAACAUGCAUUUGAAACGAUAAAGCACGGGCAGUUUCAAGUAAAUGCCUAUUUUUUCGCGCAACACCAUUUUGAGAUGGAGUGUCAGCACAGGAAGAUUGAUGAAUAAUGCCAUUUUCACACAAGUAAGAGCCAAGAGAAUGAGAAAAAUAUUCACCCGCAUUAUCAGUACGCAAAGUUUUGAUAGAGACAUUAAAUUGGUUUUUUAUUUCAGUAUGAAAGGCACAAAAAUGAGAUAAUAACUCAGAACGAUUUUUCAUUAAAUAUAACCAAGUUAGACGAGAAUGAUCGUCAACAAAAGUAACAAAAUAACGAAAGCCUGUUUGAGAUACAACUGGACACGGACCCCAAAUAUCAGAAUGAACUAACUCAAAUGGAGCAAUUGCUCGUUUAUCGACUCGAGGACUCGAACUAAGACGAUGAAAUUUCGCAAAUUGACACGAAUCACAAUUUAAAGAGGACAAAGACCUAAAUUCUGGAUAAAGUUUCUUCAACACGAACAAAGAUGGAUGACCUAAACGACAAUGGACUUCAAAAGGAGAGGGAACGACAGGACACGCCACAGCUUGCGAUACUUGAUGAUCAAAGAGAUAAAGGCCUCCUGACUCAUAUCCUCUACCAAUAAUCUUCUUCGUCACACGAUCCUGAAACAAGCAAUAACCAGAAAAGAACAUGACAACACAAUUUAGGUCAUGAGUAAGUUGACUAGUAGAAAUUAAAUUAAAGGAUAAGUUAGGCAAAUGUAACACAGAAGAGAGAAAAUGAUGGGGUAAGGUGAAUAGUGCCAGAGCCAAGAACAGAAGAUGUGGAGCCAUCGGCCAAUGUAACCGAUGGAAAAGGGGCAGGGGACAACGGUCUAGAAAAUAGGUGAGAAUUACCUGUCAUAUGAGCUGUGGCACCAGAGUCUAUGACCCAUUUGGUAGAUGAUGUAAGAAGACACUUUAUAUUACCUGGGGCAACAGUGGAUGCAAUCGGAGUAGAGGAAGAUGACGCUUGUAAUGACUCUUGGUAAUUCUGAAACUUAGCAAACUCAUCUGCCGAAAUAGUAACUGACGCCUCUGGUAUAUCACAUGUGGAGGCUAUCUGAGCAUGUUGAGAUCGUUGACUAUUCUUAUAUAGCAAUUUCCGACAAUCACGUUUCAUAUGGCCUGGCUUACGACAGUAGUUACAAACAAUCUCUACAGACUCUGGUUUUCGAUGAUCAGUACUAUUCCUCUGAGGUGCCCGAGGGUUAUUGUUCUUGCUAAAGAGAGCACUACUGGGUUGAGGAAUAGACACACUAGUCGGAGAGCUUUCAAUGCGAAGGACUCGAGUGAAGGCAUCAUCUAAUGAUGGAAUCUUGGAGUCAGAGAGAAUCUGUGUCUUUGCCAUUCCAAAUUCAGGUAAGAGUCCAUUCAGGAAAAUCAUAACAGCCAUCUUCUCUCGUUGAACUUGUUGAACUUUAACAUCAGGACUAAAAGGUAACAACAAGCCAACUCGGCAAUGAUCUUCUUAAGACGCAUAAAGUAGCUGGUGACAGACUCAGCUUUCUGUUCCGCACGAGAAAAUUGCAUACAAACUUCAAACAUUCUAUGCACUUGCUCUUUACCUGAGUAUAGAAAAUCCAAAAAUUCCAAAAGUUCUUUAACAGACUCACAGUGAUCAACCAAUCCAAUUAUCUCACUCUCAAUUGAAUUCUUGAUCUGAAGAUAUAAACGGGCAUCAUCACGAAGCCAAUCCUUCUUCUGCUUUGCAUCUUUUGGGGGAUCUUCAGUCAUAUGAUCAUCCAUAUCAGUACUUCUCAAAUAAAAUAAAAUUGUCCGACGCCAAUCGUAAUAAUUGGAUCCAUUUAACUUAUGUUCUGUGAUCUUAGAGGCCAAGGGAAUAACGUUGGAGACUACCAAAUUUUUUAUGUCGGCCAUAUUGAAGUCACACGUUGAUUGUAGUCCACUCGAACAAAGAGAAAAUCAAUCCAAACAGCUGCAAAAUUGGAAAAAGACACAAAACCAAUCGUGUAACCUUCGGUUUUCGUCAAACCCGAAUGUUAUUUGAUAGACCCAAUGGUACAGACUGGCAGGAAACAAUGGUUCGAGACAAGCCCAGAAGACAGAAGACAAAUCGGACUUCUCACGCGCUCUCACGCGCCUGUGUGGAUGAAGGUGACGAUGAUUCCGGCGGCGCGUGACGGUCACGCGCGGUGUUUUCCGGCGAUCGGCGAAGACAGACUUGGGCGGACGGAGGUGGUGCUUCUUAUGGUAUGGGCGGUGUCGACAAAUGGUCACCGGAAGGUAACCCAAACUUCAAACCUAAUGGAGGGCUCUGAUACCAUGUAAUUUAGAAUUCAGAAACGUAUCUGUCUUAUUAUUUGUUAAGUCAAAGCAAUGUUACAUAUUUAUAUAGAGAAUAAACUAAACCCUAGAGACUAUGUAAAAUUACAAUAAAGGACAUAUAUUACAUAAUAAUAUAUAUAUAUCAUAACAAGGGCCUCCCCUAUCCUUAUUCAUUGAUCGCUCUCUUUGCCGCGAAUCUCGGCAUGGUGGUUCUUCGCCUCGCAAUAUUCUUUGCUCCUCCUUCCUGGGCUUGAUUGGUACAUCAAGCAUAUCGGCAUUUUGCUUCUUCGGUGUGGUACAUAUAUCUAUCAAUGAAAAGAAAGUAAUAGAAUUCAUUCCCGCGUACUCGCAUAUUGAAUUGCGCCUUCGGACCAUCAAAGAAAGGUCCAGGGUCCGAAGUCCGCUGGAUUUAUCCGGAGUCCAGAGAAUUUAUCCGUAGGACCAUCCAUAUGGAGGGAAGUAGUCCGGAGGAUGUUGGAAUUUUUUGUCCUAAAACUCGUAGUUUAUAAAUCAUAUUCUGUUCAAUAAAGUUGUUAUUGAGAAAUUAAAUAUUAUAAUCUUAAAUCCAAUAAAUCAAGUUCCAAGGCUAUUUUUGAAUAAACUUGAACUUUAUGUGUAAACAUAAACGUGGAUCAAGUUCGAGUAUAUAGCCUAAAUAGUCUAUAGUAUAUGAAAUAAAGGUUGGGUGCCUUAUUUAGGGAAACUAUGGAUGCGGUCCACUUUGUGGUACAAACGAGGUGAUCCUAAUCGUUCAUGUAGAGACAUGAAAGUGAGGGCAUUCUAUGUAAAAUGUUUACAUAAGACUGAACCAUGAAUUAGUUUUUUUUACGUUAUAACACCGUUUACUGUUUAAAACUGACUAUCUCAACAUUUUGACUUUUUACUAAGAAAAGUCAAAGUUUGACUUUUGACUAGAAAUAUCUAAUGACCAUUUUACCCUUGGACUAAGUUAGUGGGAAAAUCCAACAUUUUGUUGGAUAAUCCCACUAACUCUUAGUGGGAUAUGUGGCUAUAUGAGAUAUAGACACCUAGCCCACUAAGUUCCACUAAUUGUUAGUGGAACAUUUGGUGUUGAGAUUUGGCAAAAUGAAUUGCAUGCAUUUUUGCAUGUAAUUAGGUUAUAAAUAGAGGUGUUUUCAAAUGUUGAAGAACUUUUGCCUCUUUUAUCAUUUUCAUCAUCUCAACCAAAUAAAAAAAAAGGAAACCUUCCAAUCCCAUUUUAUCUCCAUUACUUUCUACACCAAAAUUGGGUCCCACAACCCGGUUCUUUGUCUAGAGGAUAGCAGUUGAGUACUAGUGGUGGUCUCGGUUAGAAUUGGUAAGAAGAUAUCAAACCUUUUGAAAGCUUCAAAGGUAAUAUUUCCUAAAACCCUAAUUUGAUUAAUUUAUGGUUACAUGUUAAUUGUGGCAAUUAGGGUAGAAAUUCGAUUUUUUUUCCGCUGUGCAUGACUUAGUUCUAUCAGAGGAUUUAUUCGUAGGACCAUCCGUAAUUAACAGAAAUAGGACUAUCCAUUAUCCUCCGUCCGGAGUCCGCAGGAUACUUAUCCGUAGGACUAUCCGUAAUUAACCGAAGUAGUCCUCCAGAAUUUCUGUAAUUAACCGAACUUUGCACCUCUUGACUAUGAAUCAUAUAUAUUGAUUUUGACCGGAGCAAAGAUCAUUGCCCACGGAGCGGCGCAAAGAAUAUUGCGACCUGUGGAUUCAUUGAGGCGGUGAAGAAUUGCCAUUUUAUGAGCUUGUAAAACCCCUCCGGAGGAGAAGGAUAGGGGAGCAAGGUUCAAAGUGGUUUUCAAAGUCAGAGCUAUCCCUUAUUAUUGAGGGCUUUGACCACCUGGACACUUACCUACUCAGUCGCAAGGAUCAAAGAAUUUGAUUGACAAAGAAUAUUGCGAUUUUACCGAGUCCUUCGUCUCGCAAUAUUCUUUGCGCCUUCGAUGAGUCAGGUUAAUAUGGAUAAGUCCUUCGGACUGAUAGCGUCCAAAAAAUAGGCGAGGGCGGGCGGGCUAUAAGUAGGCCGUUUGCUAUUGCUAUAAGGGCUGCUCGCCUUUAUACGGCUUGGCUUCGCUAUCGCUCAUGACUUGUAUUUGUGGUCGGCCUAAAAAGUAGUCUUCCUACCAUAAAAAAAUGCCUAUUAUCUAGUUCGUUAAGCUUCGCCAAAAGCAAGAUGAGGGCGCUUUGCUUCGUAGACAAGGCUCGUCUAGUACUUGACUUACGAGUUCGUGUAGGACUU